rnacentral:lncRNA from 1 species
UCCUUGGAGGAGUAGACACUAACUUCACUGUUACAUCAAAAUCAGCAGACGAUGCCGAGUUUGGAGAGCUGUACCUCUUCAAAUGGACCACCCUCCUCAUCCCACCAACCACUCUAAUCAUCUUGAAUAUGGUUGGAGUUGUAGCAGGAGUAUCCGAUGCAAUAAACAACGGAUAUGGAUCAUGGGGUCCUUUAUUUGGGAAGCUAUUUUUCGCUUUCUGGGUCAUUGUCCAUCUCUAUCCCUUCCUCAAAGGUCUGAUGGGAAGGCAAAACAGGACUCCUACAAUUGUUGUCCUCUGGUCUAUACUUCUUGCAUCUAUUUUCUCAUUGAUUUGGGUUAGAAUUGAUCCCUUCUUGCCCAAGCAAACUGGCCCAAUUCUCAAACAAUGUGGGGUGGAGUGCUAGCUAGUCAAUGCCUUUUGAAUUUUGCGGUCAGCUCCUGUUCUGUUCUGUGUUUUGAGUCUUUCACAGGUUAUCCCACUUUUGCACAGUUGUUUUUCCUUUUUAAUGGGGGAGUGGAGUGGUCAUUGUAUGGAUUAUCAGUGAGAUUUUUCUGUUAGCAAGCAAGCAUAUGCACGCAAACUUUAAGAAUUUUAUUAAUUAAGAAUUACUAAAAAAUUAUGCUGUUCCAAACAUUCACUCUUGAGGGAGGAAUCCUUACAAUUACAAAUUUACAAUCCACAGACUAUAUAUAUAUAUUUUCCAGGUCAAGGCAAGGAAUCUAUCCCUCUGGAUCAAAGUCAACCAAACAUGGUAGAUUAUUUCAAAAUUGGAAGUGUCCAUCUUCUUUGACAAAAACAUUAGAUUAAAUUCACUGUAAAACUGUCUCAGAGACAGAUUUAUUUGAUGUUUUCGUCUCUGCGUCACCAACCAGACAUGUUUCUGUCUCUUUUGUAUUUGUCUCUAGACACUAACCAAAAGCAAUACAUGAUACGGAACAUGCAUCCGUACUCUGGUAACUAAUUACACAGAAGGAUUAUCAAAGAAAAUAUAAAACUCAGUACUAUAAUCUUUAUACUAAGACAGCCACAAGGAAGUAAAGCCCACCUCCUUGAAUUGUAAUUUGUGAAAGCCAUGGAAUUCUGUCAAACCAAAAGUAGCCUAUCCUACGAGGUCCAUCGUGUUCUAUUUUUGAAAACUUCUCAACUUGCUGAAAGUUAUCGAGUUCUUGCUGAUAGUUCCUGUGCCACAAAAUGCAUGGUGGGCCGUGCCUCUGGCUUGGUUUGUGUGCAUGCUAAGGCCACUGUAACUACGAAAACAACUUCCUCUGCUGCUUGGCCUGUGGGAGCUUCGAGCCGCGGGUCUAGCACAGCUUCGAGCCGCGGGUCUAGCACAUCCUUUAGAAACAACUCUGGAUCGCUUAACAAUGAUGGUUUUAUUGAUGAUAAUGAGGAUAAGAGGUCUCCCGGGUGCCUUCCCAUCAUGACUUCCAAAGCCACCACCCCAAAGCUAUACACAUCACAUUUGUCUGUUACCCGCAUUGUUUGUGCCAGUUCUGAAAACACCAGGCAAUCAAAAUGAACAUCAGAAACAUCCAGUAUGAAAGUUUUUAACAUGCAUCAUGCCAUAUUUCCCAUUUCCUUGUUGUACACAUGUUAUAGCUUUUAUAAUUUUAGAGCAAUACUCAAAUGACAAGAACAAAAAUCAAGAACAUAGGAUUGUUGUCUUACCUGGAGCCAUGUAGCCAUAAGACCCAGCAACUGCAGUCCAGCUGGAGGAAUCUGUAUUCAAGAGUCUUGCUGUGCCAAAAUCCGCAAGACGUGGCUCAAAAUCUGUCUCUAGAAAAAUGUUGUUCAAUGAUAUGUCACGGUGCACAAUGGGCGGAGAACAGUCAUGGUGCAAGUAGGCAAUUGCAUGAGCUACUCCUCGCACUGUAUUCACUCUCCUGCCCCAACCAAGCUCCACUUCCCCUUCUAUCCCAUACAACACUUUUCCCAGACUUCCUCUUUCAACAUGCUCGUAAACCAGGUACAAGCAGCCCCUCCUGGAGCAAAACCCAUAAAGCUUUAUGAUGUUCCGGUGCCUAACUUCUGUCAGCAUUUUAAUCUCAUUCUCGAAACUCUGGCGAUUGGUUGCUGGGAUGUCACUGGAGUCUGACAUGUUGAGUUUCUUGACUGCAACUACUUGACCUGUAGACAAUACUGCUUUGUAAACACUACCAAAUCCUCCUCUUCCAAUGCAGUACUUCUCGUUGAAGUCAUCAGUGGCCUUGACAAUAUCCCCAAAUGUGAAUUUGCUUUCUCUUUCCCAUAUCACUGACUUGAAACUCUCACCAUUGUUGACUAUUUUGGUCUCUUCAUCAAGCAGUUUGGUUUUUCGGAAACAUAGCAGAACAGCAAAGAUAGUUGCUAUUACUAAUAAGCCACAAAAAGGAACGAUAACACCAAUAAGAACCUUUUUGUUAUCCUUCGAGGACUUGCUACUGUCUGUUGUUGGGCAUUGUGAUAGUCCUUCUCCUUCACCGCACAAUCCUGAAUUUCCAACAAAAGAUCUUGGGGAUGCAUUUUUGAAAACGCUUCCAGAUGGUAAAGGACCUGUCAACUCAUUGUAUGAGAAAUCGAAAGAAGACAGGCUAAGCAUGGAAGACAGCGAAUCUGGGAUUCUUCCUGAGAGAUGGUUAUGUGAGACAUUGAAAAUCUCCAACUGCGAUAGCUUUGCAAAAUUUUGAGGUAUGGCUCCUGAGAGUGAGUUGCUGCUAAGAUCCAACAAGUACCGCAACGAGUUUAAGUUGCCCAGUUCAAAAGGUAUUUCACCAGCAAGGUUGUUGUGGCUCAAGUCCAAGCUUGAUAGCUUCUCAUAACUCCCAAGCUCUUUUGAUAUGUUUCCAGUCAGCUUGUUAUCAGAUAAGUCGAGAGAUUCAAGGCCUUCCAAGCUGGUUAGACUCUGAGGUACCUCCCCUGUCAACUGAUUGUUGCUCAAGUUGAGCAUGAAUAACCUGCUCAGAUUUCCCAGUUCAGCAGGAAUCCUCCCAGCCAGGUCAUUGGAGCCCAGACUUAGAACUCGCAGCUGGGGCAACUUCCCAAGCUCAGCAGGGAUUUCACCAGAAAUUCUGUUUCCGUCCAUCUGUAAAUUGGUGAGGUUUUUACAUUCUCCCCAAUCUGGUGAGAUUUCACCAAUAAAUUGAUUGUCACUGAGGGCAACAAAAACAAGAUUUGGAAGGACACCAAAUGCAUCAGUGAUGUUUCCAGUGAAUCGGUUCUUUUCAAGCCGAACUCGUGAUAGCUCCGAACAAUUCCUCAAGCAGGUUGGCAGUGACCCAGUAAAACUGUUGCUGUUGACAGUAAAUUGUUGAAGACUCCGACCUCUACACAAUUCAGGCGGCAAUUCUCCAGAGAAACUAUUGUUUGAAAAGCUAGCAUACGCCAGAGAAGGCAUGUACUUCCCAAAAUCACUUGGAAUGCUACCAGAGAGGUUAUUGCCAAACAGAUUGAUGGAAGUUAAAGAAGUAAUAUCUGAAAUGGUCAGUGGCAACUCCCCAUGGAGCUGGUUGGUGUUGAGAUCAAGAAUUUGCAGCAUCGUCAAAUUUCCAACUUCUGGUGGAAUUUUACCGUUGAUGUUAUUUGAGAAAAGAUUCAGGAUUUGAAGAUUUGUGAGAUUCCAUAAUGCUGGAGGAAGGGGGCCUGAAAGCUGGUUUCCUGAAAGGUCUAGACUUAAUAACUCCUUCAAGUUUCCUAUCUCCGGGGGAAUGGAACCAGAGAAUGUGUUAUUAUACAGAAAAAGGUAUUGAAGCAUUGUCAAUUUCCCAAUUUCUGGAGGAAUAUUUCCAGAAAACAAAUUGUUUUGAACCUGAAGCGAGAUCAAUUCAGUCCAGUUGGAUAUAAGGGUAGGUGAGAUCUCACCGGAGAGAGAGUUGUCAGAUAAACCCAUAUCUGCUAGUUUAGCUAGAUUGGACAAAGACAAAGGCAAUUCCCCACUUAGUUGAUUAUCAGCCAAGGCCAAGUAGGCGAGGUUAGUGCAAAGACCAAGCUCAGGAGGGAUCGUUGAGUUCAAGGCAUUCAUCCGGAGAUCAAGCUUUUCAAGAUGCUUAAGUUGGCCUAUAGAAGGUGGAAUAUUUCCUUGGAAAGAAUUGCCGAACAACUCAACAAUUUGAAGACCAGAUAUCGAACCAAUGCUUUCGGGAAUUUGACCCCUCAACAGGUUAUAUUGUAGACUAAUGUUUUUGAGAUUGGAAAGCUUCGAAAUGUUGGAUGACAACGGUCCUUGGAAUGAAUUGUUAUAGAGAUUCAAGGCCUCAAGCUUUCCCAGAUUGGUAUAGACCAAUUCUGGUAUUUGGCCUGUGAAUUUAUUGAGUGACAAAUCCAGAAACGUCAAGUUCCGGCAAUUGGUUAUAAAAUGGGGGAAUUCUGCAGUAAGUUCAUUGAGAAAAAAACUAAGAUAUUCCAAAGAAGGCAUGGAAAAGUUGGACCAGUCAGGGUUUUCCAGGUAGUUUGCUCCAAGGUCCAAGUGUCUUACCUUGGGAAGAUUGGCAAGUUGAAAGGGGAUGAUACCGUUGAGAUUGUUGUUGUAAAGACUAAGAUACUGAAGCUCUGUCAACUGAGAUAUCUCCACAGGUAUGCUGCCCUCGAAGAAGUUGACACUGAGGUCCAAGUGAGUGAGGUUGGAGAGGCUGCCAAUGGCUGAUGGUAUCGUUCCAUUGACGUUGUUAUUCUGGAUGUCAAACCUGGUGAGACCAGUAAAAGGGGUGAAGUUGAAAUGGGCGAGUGUUCCAGUUAUGUUUAGGCUGCGGAGUUUUAUUUGAGAGACUGUUCGAGAGGUGGAGCUGCAGGAAACAGCAGUCCACUUGCAGAGGUUGUUGAGGUUGGAACGAGACCAUGAACUAAGAGGAGGAGGUGAGAAAUACAAGGUGCUUUUCCAUUGGAGGAGAGCUUCAGCUUGUGUUCUUGCAGAUGAUUUGGCUUUCAAAGGAAACAAGGAAAGAAGGAGAGCAUGGAAGAGAGCAACAUAAAGCUUUUGAGAAGCUGCCAUGCUUGGGUUAUGCAAGCUGGACAUGAUCUGGGCAGUGAUCUUAUAGCAUUUAGAGUGAGGAAUUUCUUUCAGCUGCAACUAUUUCUUUGGAUACGUUGGCUAUGCCAUUUGGAGUCACAAUCAGAACGGAAAAAAGGUGAUGCGCAGAAAAAUCAUAGUUACAAGAGCACAAAAGUCUAAAUGCGCGUUUAGAAUUGCUUUGCAAGAGUAAUUUUAAAAGUGAAUUUUAUUUUAAAAUAUAUUAAAAUUAAUUUUUAAAAAAUUCUUGUAUUCACGUAACAAAAUCAUUAAAACAAAACUAAAAAAUAUUAAUUUAAUAUUUAAAAGUAUAUAUAUAUAUAUAUAAACAGAAGCUGCUAAGCUUGAAACACUUCCUCUCAAAACUCAUCCGAGUUAACUCAAAUUUUAGUUAAAAAAACUGUAUUUUUUAUCGACCCGUUUCGGGCAAUCUUUAAAUAAACAAAUUACCAAGUUUAUAUGCUGGGUCGGAUCUGAGAGAAAUUCUUCUAGAUUGAUGUCGAAAAAAAUAAAUUCUAGUCUAACUUCCCGAGCCUUCAAGGACAAUUCAUUCAAGAUUAUGAAUAUAUACUUUCAUGAAUGAUACUUUUGUUUUAUAGAUAUUUUUUAAAUUUAGAGAUUUAGAGCUCUUUUUUUGUUUUAAAAAUGUUUUUAAAAGAAAUUUAACUUAUUUUUUAAAUUAAUAUUUUUAAUAUUUUCAAUUAUUUUGAUAUAUUAAUAUUAAAAAUAAAUUUUAAAAAAUAAAAAAAAUAUUAUUUUAAUAUAUUUUAAAUUAAAAUAUUUUAGAAAAGAAUCACCCCGCAAUAAUAUCUAUUUCCACUCUCUCAAGACUGAAGAGUUGACUAUGAAAAGUCCAUAUUAUAUGCCUCCAUGGGCCGGUAGGUGUGUGUGAAUAUAGUAAAGUCUCGUUGGUUUUUUAUACGCAUUCGUUAAUUCCAUGACAUGAUGACCAAGACCUCUCUUUGACGAUGAUGGUCACCUUAAAUUAAUUUAUGAAUAAUUUUUUAUUAUAAAAUAUUGGUAAAACACUUCUAUUUAUGUAAAACAAUUGCAGAAAAUUAAAAAUCACAAAUUUCUAACAUGAACAAUUAAUAAUUUGGAUUAAAUAAAUCUUCAAAGAAAAAUAAAAGUAUAGUCUAAAAAUAAUGAACUAUUAUGUUUACCUAGUUGGAUGCUGAAUGAGAAUUUAGUACUUAUUUUUAAAUGAAUAUUCAAAUUAACAUUAAUUUUCUUCAAAAAAAGUCAAGGAUUAUAUGUCUUUUUGCUCAUGGAUCUAUUAUAUGGUACGGGAUGUUUGAAAAUAUUGUAACGAUUAUUUUUUAAAAUAACUUUUAUUUUAAAACACAUCAAAAUAAUAUUUUUUAUUUUUUAAAAUUUAUUUUUAACAUCAGUAUAUAAAAAAUAAUCUAAAAAUAAAAAAAAUAUUAAUUUAAAAUAAAAAAUAAAAAAAUAAUUUUUUUUAAAAAUAUUUAUGAAAUGCAAUUGCAAAAAAAGUACCCAGGUAUAAAGAAGAUUGGCUCCAGCUUGAUCUCAUUUGUCCUUUUCAGGGUGGAUCUAACUAAGGUUAAAUUCAGAGAACCAAGAGACUGUGAAGCCAUGAUUUAUUUGGAGUGUUCAUAUAUUAUUAUGGACACUCUCUCUUGUCUAUCUCCAGGCACAAAAAUUCAUGAUUUCCCACCUCUACUGAGGGGCCUGAUGCUUUUUUCCGGGUUUUCAAAUUGUGAUUUAAAUAAAAAUUUAUUAAAAUAAUAUUUUUAAUUUUAAAUAGAUGAGAUUAUUUUUAAAAUUAUUUUUAUUUAAAAACAUAUUAAAAUAAUAAUAUUUUUUUAUUUUUGAUAUUAAAAAACAUUAAAAAAUAUUUAAAAUUAAGCCAGUCAAACAAUGAAACGAAUUCUAAUGCUUUUUUUUCUUUAUAGUGCUUUCUUCGAUCUUUCUCGGCCUAUUGAAAGGGAGUUCGUGUUUACAUUACAUGAUUAAGCCAGUCAAACUGCCCAACAAAGUCAGAGUCAACUUUUGAACUUCCAAAAAAAAUCAAAAUCAAAAUUAAAUGAACUUGGAGAAACAAUUGACUGAGACUAAUAAGCUUUAGAAAGCAUGUAAAGACUUUAUGGUUCUAUCAAAACUAAAAAUUUAUAACACAAAUAAUUAUAUUAAGAAAUCCAAGAAUAUUUAUAACAUAAAUAAUAAUAUUUUUUAUAUUAAUACUUUGAAUUAUAAUAAAAAUAAUAAUAUUUAUUAUGCGAACCCAAACUUACAUACAAACUUAUCCUAACUCAAUCAGAGUUCAACGCAGCAUUAAUAACAAAACUAACUUUAUAAUAUAAUUGAAUUGUCUUAAUACAGGAGUUCAUAUAAUUUCAUAGUUUUGGAGCACUAACUAGACAAAAAGAAAGGUACAAAUUACAACCAAAAGAGCAGGUUCUGAAGGUCCAACAAAAGUGACCUGCUAUCAAGCUAUAAGCCUGAAAAGGUAAAUAAUGAGAGGGUGGGUUCAACAACUCAGUGAGUAGAUAACGUUCAAUACACACACACGAGAUAAUACAGCAAUGAGAAAUAUAUAUACAAGUAUGGCUCUAGGUUCUUAUAGAAAUGUUUCUCAAAUUGACCAUAACAAGAAUAUCAUAUGGUAAAACUCGUCAGAAAAUCAAAAUGCAAUGAGCAUGAGGCUCCGUACUGUGGGAUGAUCAGUCCACACAGGUUGGUGACUCCCCCGACCAACUAGGGUUCAGAUACGAUGUGCUCAAAGACUAACACUACCCUGUUAGCAUUGGUAUUCUGACUGACAUACCAUAGGUUCAUAAUCAUAAUCUGUUGCGAUGUCGCGGUCGUACAAAUUAAUUACCCUAGCUUCAAACACAACACACAAGAUAGUAUAGAGCAAGCAAGGGGUCGAUCCCACGAGGAAGAUUCAAGUCAGAUUUUUAUGCUAGAUGGUAUGCAAUUUGGGGGGGGGGGGUUUGGACGUUAUCUAGGCUAAAGCAAAAGAAAACAGAAAACUAUCAAACUAAAUUUAAUAAAAUCAGAAAAUUACCAAGAGAACAAACCUUGGUCACAAGCACACAUCCACCUACAGAAAUCAGAACUGAUAAUGGAAACGAAACAUCAAUUUAUAUUCUGAAUAUUUAUCUCUUCUUAACAUUGGUUAGUUAACGGAUCCGCCGUAUAACUAACCCUAACUAUCAAACAACCACAGUGUCCGCACUAGUAAUUUAAUUCAAUGGCAGCCUUAAGAACUAGAUAAGUUGAAUAAUCAAGAAAACAUAACUGUCCGCAGUCUAUGUUUGAUUUGAUUGAAUGUUCUCCCUAAGAUUAAUAACGUAGAUCCGCCACAAUUAUUAAACUCAGUUGCUUCACAAAUUCAUAUACCACAACUCCGGUUUUGAUAUCAAACUUAGCAAUAGAUUGUCUACAAUAAUAACUUAGAGUCCGCUCUAGCAAUUAAAAUAAACAAUCAUAGAAAAAAUAAGCAUUGAAGAACAAACAUAUUCAUCAUAUAAACUGAAAAGAAAAGGUAAAAUAAAUCUCACAGUUCUUGAAAUCCGAAGGUUUCCGUGUCCUUGCAACCAAGAAAAAGUGUUUAGUCUUGCAUGUUUGUUGAACAACUAAUCAAAAAGAAGGAAGAAUGCAUAAUUUCGUGUUUCUUAGAGGAGGGGGGCGUUUUUCUCCUCUUGGCUGGCCGCCCCCCUUCUCUUCUCUCAUUCUUUUUAUAUCUUAGGAAACCCUAGGUCUCUAUUUUACAAAAUAGUCCUCCAUUAAGUAGACUGUUUACAUUUAAGUACUUCAAUAACUAUUUUCCUAAAAAAUGAGAAAUAGCCUUGCAUGAAAUCUUCAAGCUUUGACUUAGAGGAGCUAAAUUGCUGAAAUAAAAACUUGGAUAUCGGUUUAGAUGAUUCGGAACGUAAUUUGGACUCGUUUUUUCACGAAACCUGUUUGCUGGCAGAAUUCAGAUGUCAUCUUUGAAAAAUCAUAUCUCCCUCAUAUGACAUCGGUUUUGGCUGAAAUUUGGAGAGUUUAUAGAAAUUUGAGUCAUGAAUCCAAAAAAAUUGAGUUUGCAUCAAUUGGACUUCUUUAGCUCCAGAUAUUCAAGUUGGAAUGGCCGAAGGUCAACACUGGCAGAUUGCGAGAUUUGACUUUGAAGGCUGCGAUUUCCAUGCUCUUCCUUAUUUUAUUUUCUUGCCUUAGAUGACCAGAAAGGUAUGGAUGUUAGCUUUUUAAUGCCACUGGAAUCACUUCAUUUUAACCUCUAGAGCUCACGCUCUCCACAAAACAUCGACUGAAGGUCAAAUCUGCCAAUUAUCUCCAAUUUACUCCUUUUUGCAUCUUUCAUCCAAAAGUGCCUUCAAAACAUAAAACAAAGAAUAUCAAGGAAUUAUAUAUAUAAAACAUAGGCAAAACACUAGUUAAAUGUGGGUGAAACUAUUGAAUAAUAUGGUUGCAUCAUAAUCAAACAGACAUAUUCAUAUCUCAAGGCUCAACUUAUGACAUCAAUCAAAUGAGGAGCUAUCAAUUCAGAAGUCAAUUCAGAAUAUAUAUAUACUGGUUCAUAUCAAUAAUUUGGAUUCAACAAUUGAUCAUGCUUAUCAUAACAAGGAUAAUAAUCAACAUAUAUAUUAUCAAGAAGCAUGAUCCAAUUCAUAUUAACAAAUCAAAUAUUUAUAAUAUUUCUCAUGCAUAUGGAAAAUUAUCCACUCACCUGACUCGAAAGCAACAAAACUCAAAGCUGAUAUCGAAGGAAAUCCUACUGACGUCCCGCCGGUAGAAUAUCAGGAUUAUCUGAAUACAAAUGAGACAUAUUCAAGAACGACUUGAAAGAACAUAUAACCUAUUUAAUACACUUAUCUAAGGGUGUAUUCCAUAACCCUAUAUGUUUUUAGACUAAACUAGUUAUUUUCUCAAAAACCCAAAAAUUAACGGUUUUCCCGAAAUUUAAUCCAUAAUAAAACAAAUAAUAAAACUUGAUAAUAAUUCACUAAAUAACCCUCAAUUAUUCAUCAAACCAAUCUGCAAAAGCUAAUAUUACAGCUAGGGACCAAUCUGUAAUUUAUCAUAUUUUUAGGGCCAAAUUGUAAUUUUCAUCUAAUUGGAGGACCAAACUAAACAUAUCAUAAAUUCAUGACUAUAGUGGAAUUAUGUCCAUAAUUCAUCCUCAUUUCUGUUCAGAACCUCUAAUUAUGCUCCAGGGACCAUUCUGGAAUUUUUCCUAAUUUUUAGGUUCAAAUUGUAAUUUUUGUCAAAUUGGAGGACCAAAUUGAAAGUGUUAAAUUUUCAUAUCUAUACAGUAAUUCUGCCCAUAAUUCAUAUGUUAUUCUGUUCAGAAUCUCGGAAUAUGCUCCAGGGACCAAUUUGUAAUUUUCCAAAGUUUGGGGACUAAACUGUAAUUUCCAUAAAUUGAGGGACCAAACCGAAAUUUUGUCAUCUUCAACCUCAAACCCAGAAUUCUCACAGAUUACCUACUGUUCUUGCCAAAUUUCUAACUCAACAUUCACCAUUUACACAAUUCAUAACUCAAAAUCAUCACAAUCUUCCAUAAUCAACUCAUUAAUCAAUUACCCAUAACAAUCAACCUUAUAACAUUCGAUUUAAUUCAUCAAUUAAACCCAAAACAUAAAUUUUCAAAACCCUAACAUUCAUCAAAACUGAAAUUAAGUUCAAUUAACAUACAUUUAUACAUUUAACAACCUAAAUCUUACCUUUAAACUUAUUCUCUUCAACUCCUUUCUAUUUCCCUUCUAAUUUCCCUCUUUUCUCUUCUUCUUCUUCUUUCUCCCUUCUCUCUCAUGGUUUGCUCUCUCAAAAUAUUCAGAUCUCUUCUUCUUCUUCUUUUCUUCUUUCUAUUUAUAUUUAUUAUGUUUAUCUAAUUACCACACUACCCCUCAUUCAUUUAUACUUACUCUUUAAGUUUUCAAGGGCUUUGUUGCCAUUUCCUAUCUCUUUAUAUUCAAAACAUUACACACGCAGAUCUACCCCCAAUGCCCCAAGGCUUGGCAGACCCCGCGCCAGGUAUUUGCUGCCUGGGGUCGUGGCCAGGCGCGCGUGGUGGCCCCAACGCUCUGGCUUGCCAGCCCUAGCGCGAGGUGUCGACAGCUUGAGCUAAUUAAUUAUAAUUAAUUAAUGCUUUUAAUUACAAUAAAGAUCACAAUAUUUAGAAUACAAAUAAUAAUAUUAAACUUGCGUGACCAAAGUUUAUACAAUAAUAAUUUUUUUUAAAAAAAUUAUUAACAAUAAUAAUAAUAAUGACAAUUGUUACUAUAUAUUUUUUUUUCAAUUUUCUUCUAUUCUUAAUAUCAAUACUUUUAAUUACAAUAAAGAUAAUAAUAUUUAGAAUACAAAUAAUAAUAUUUACCAUAUUAAUAAUAAUAUUAAUUUUGCACGGCCAAAGUUUCUACAGAAAGAAUUUUUUUAAAAAAAAAUCAUUAACAAUAAUAAUAAUGAUAAUUGUUAUUAUGUUUUUUUUUUUCUUCUUUACAAGGUCUGUCGAUACAGCAGCGUAGGCCUCUAUACCCAAGGGUAGUUAUAGCAGACCUCGAUGGCCGUGUGUGAACCUAACGUGUGGGUCUAUAAGCUAGACACUCGAGUUUGUAGACCCUGACUCACGGGUUUGCAGAUCCUAAAACCGCGGGGCUGUAGGCCCGCUCGCCCUGGGGCUGCGCCAAGACCUCUCUUUGACGAUGAUGGUCACCUUAAAUUAAUUUAUGAACUAUUUUUUUAAUUAUAAAAUAUUGGUAAAACACCUCUAUUUAUGUAAAUCAUUUGCAGAAAAAAAAACAUUUGUGAAUUGUUCAUGUUAAAAAUCACGAAGAAAAAUAAUGUUGAUUAAAUAAAUCUUAUGUAGUUGUGCAACCUCCCACUUAUUUUCAACAUUUAAAAAUCACAAAUGUUUAACAUGAACACUUAAUAAUUUGGAUUAAAUAAAUCUUCAAAGAAAAAUAAAAGUAUAGUAUAAAAAUAAUGAAUUAUUAUAUUUACCUAGUUGGAUGCUCAAUGAGAAUUUAGUACCUAGUUUUUUUAAAUGAAUAUUCAAAUUAACAUUAAUUUUUUUAGUACCUAUUUUUUUUAAUGAAAAUUUAGUACGUAAUUCACCUAUUUUAAAUUCAAAUUAAUAUUAAACAUUUUUUUUGGCUAAUAAAAUGACCAAUUAAUAAUAUAUUUUUAUAUAGUGUUUGGUUAUUGUUACAUAAUAGAAAAAUCAAAGAAGAUAAAGACAAAGAUAACAAAUUAUUUCCUUAUACUUUAUAUUUUGAAAAUAUAAAGAUAAAUUUAUUUUAUAUCUCUAUAAAGUAUCUCUUAAUUAAUAAUUCCAUCGAUCCACCAUCAAUCUAUCUGGUGUGAUAAUGUAUUAUUAAACAAUUGUAAUGGAUUUUGUUUAUGGUAGUGUUUGGAAUUGUAGUAAUAAUUAUUUUUUGAAGCACUUUUUAUUUUGAAUAUAACAAAAUAACUUUUUUUAUUUUUUUAUAUUAACACAUGAAAACAACCUAAGAUUAUUAAAAUAAUUUUUAAACACAAAAACAAUCACAACCUUCAUCUAUAUAAUAACCUAGGAUUAGAAGUUUCAACUCCUAAUUAAUUGGUUUUUAGCUGUCUUAUAGUGACAUUGAAAAGUUUUAGACUUUACAUAUGCCUAUGCAAGAUAAAAUAAACCUUGAUAUUCGAGUCCUAUUUUAACUCUUUUUUUUUUGUUUCAGAGUCCUAUUUUAACUCUAAAAAGUCGGUUUGGAAACUAAGAAAUUGUAUUUUUUUUUUAUUUUUUGAAUUUAAACUUUAAUAUCAACACUUGGAAGAAUCUAUUCCUCUAAAUUUAUUAGAAUCAUAUGAAGAUUGUAUAUUAAAAUAUUUAAAGCAAAAAUAAUUUAGUUUUGAUUUUGGAAAAUAUAAAAAAAAUAUUAUAUUUACCUUUCUUGCAGAUAUCAAAUAUCAAAACCUGAAGAUCCAUAAUUAAACUAUGUAUAAUCUAGGUAUAGAUGUAUAAAACUCAGUUACAAGACUUUGUCUAGAUUUACCUGCCAGUUUGAGGUAGGCCUGAGUAUUUUCGGUUCGGUCCGAUUUUGGACCAAAAUAAACAACUAAACCAAAAAAUUUUUAGUUUUUGAACCGAACCGAAUCGAACCGAAAACCGGUUCAAACCGAUUAAUUUCGGUUCGAUUCAGUUCAAUUCAGUUUUUUCCCCUUCCAAACCGGUUCAAACUGAAAUGAUGAUUCUCGAGCUAAUUUCAGAUUCAAUCCACUCCUUCUCCAGGAAAUGUUACAAGGUCUACCAGUUGCAAACAAAUAGAAAGUAAUUCCCAACAUCAUGCAUGCACCCAAAUCUCAUCCUAUUGAAAUCACCAAAGAUCAGAUCGAGUCCAUGAUUACUGGAUUCAACCAGAAGCAUUUCCAAAAGAAAUUACCAAACAUCGCCGCAGGGAAAGAAGUAAACAGAAGCAUGAUAUAAGAGAUAAACCUACUAAAACUAUCAAGCACCACAAAGCCACAACAUUUGAGCCAAGAACAUGCAGAUAUGAGAGAUGAGAGACAGAGAUAGAGAGCAUGGAAGAGAAGAAACAGAUUUGACUAAAAUCAUUUGAGAGAUGAGAGAUAGGGAAUAGGGAGAGGGGGCGGCUGAAAGAGCAUGGAGCUUAAGCAAAGGAGCAUGGAGCAGGAGCUUAACAACUAACAAGUAACAAUCAUGGAGCUGAGCAUGAAGAAAAAUCAAAGAGAAGAUGAGGGGGAGAUGCAGAGAGCAAAGGGAGGGAAGGAGAUGUAGAGAGCUAGAGAGCAAAAGGAGAGGGGGCGGCGGCGGCUGAAUGUAGGUUUGGGGUUAAAAAACUUUAUAUUUAUACUUGUUUUUUUUAAUGGUGGCCUGGUUGAACCGGUUCGGUUCAAUCGGUUUCAGACUUUAGAAACCGAAACUUUUUUGUGAUGUUUUUAAGCGGUUAAUUCGGUUUUUUUUCGGUUAUUUUUUUUUCCUGUUUUUUCGGUUUAAUCGGUUUAUCGGUUUUUUUGUUCACCCUAGUUUAAGGGCUAACCUGGACAGAGUGAGUGUUUAAGAUUGUGAUAAUUUUUAUUUUUUAUUAUAAUAUUUUUUUAAUGAUUUUCAAAGAUUUUAAUAUGUUGAUAUAAAAAAUAAUAAAAAAAUUAUUUUAAUAUAUUUUUUUUAAAAAAAUAAUUUUACUAAAUUAUCUACACUACAAUACUAAAAAUAUACUGAACUUUUAUUUUAUUUUUAAAAUAUUGUUUAGGGUUUUCAAAAAAGUGAAGGAUUAUCUUGGUCUUCCCACUAAUGGACCCACUCUAUAGUAUAAAGCUAAGAAGAUUGACUCCAAUUUGAGCUCAUUUGCCCUUUUCAGGGGGAAUCUAAGGUUAAAUUCAGAGAACCAAAGACUGUGAACUCAUAUGAUAUCUUUGAAAUGUUCAUAAAUUAUACAGUAAUUAAAAAGAUAAAAAAUAAUAAUAAUUUAAAACUAAAAAAUUAUUUAAAAUGCACGACUGUACCAUGCUUUUUCUUUAUAGUGCUUUCUUCUAUUUUUCUCAGCCCAUUGAAAGGGAGAUUGUGUUUACCUAAUUGGUAAAAAUUAUGAUAGUAGUUAUUUUUUAAAGUAUUUUUUAUUUAAAAAUAUUUUAAAAUAAUAUUUUUUAUUUUUUAAAAAUUAUUUUUAACAUCAGCACAUCAAAACGAUAUAAAAACAUAAAAAAAAUUAAAUUUAAACAAAAAACAAUAAUUUUUUUUUUAUAGAACAUGAUUUGCACCAAGUUUCUAAACAGUAUCUUUAUUAAGCCAGUCAAACUGCCCAACACGGUCAAAGUCAACUUUCGAACUUUCAAAAGAAAAAAAACAAUCAAAAUUCUUCAAUUCAUAUUUGAACUUGGAGAAACUUUUUACAUCAAAAUAUUAAAGUAAUUUAAAAAUAUUAAAAAAAUAUUAAUUUAAAGUAAAGAAAAAUAUAAAAAAAAUUUAAUUUUUUUUUAAAACACAAAAACAAAUAAAAUUUGCUAAAAAAUUAUGUAACAGCAGCACGACGUUCAUCUAUAUAAUAACCUAGGAUUAAAAGUUUCAACUCCUAAUUAAUUGGUUUUUAGCUGUCGUUUACUUACAUUGAAAAGUUUGAGACUUUACAUGUCUUAUAAUAUAGGGUUUUUAUUUAUAUUGGUUUUUUAAAGUGUUUUUUAUUUUAAAAUAUAUUAAAAUAAUAUUUUAUCGAAAUAAUUUAAAAAUAAAAAAAUAUUAAUUUAAUGUAAAGAAAAAAAUAAAAUAAUUUUUUUUUUUAAAUAAUUCUGAAAUGCAAUUGCGAAAAAGAGUACCCAGGUAUUGAUCUCAUUUGUCCAUUUCAGGGUGGAUCUAACUAAGGUUAAAUUCAGAGAACCAAGAGACUGUGAAGUCAUGAUUUCUUUGGAGUGUUCAUAUAUUAUUACGGACUCUCUCUCUUGUCUAUCUCCAGGCAACAAAAAUUCAUGAUUUCCCACCUCUACUGAGGGGCCUGAUGCUUUUUUCCGGGUUUUCAAAUUGUGAUUUAAAUAAAAAUUUAUCAAAAUAAUAUUUUUAAUUUUAAAACCGGAGAUUAUUUUUAAAAUUAUUUUUUAUUUUAAAAUAUAUUAAAAUAAUAUAUUUUUUUAUUUUUGAUAUUAAAAAAUAUUUAAAAAUAUUUAAAAUUAAAAAAUAUUAAAAAUAUUAAAAAAUAUUUAAAAUAAUAUAUUUAACUUUAAAAUAUAAUAUUUAUAAAGUUAUACACAUCGUAUUUGUCUGUGACCCGCAUUGUUUGUUUGUGCCAGUUCUGAAAACACCAGGCAAUCAAAAUGAACAUCUGAAACAUCGAGUAUGAAAGUUUUUAACAUGCAUCAUGCCAUGCAAGGUUGUUAAAAUCACGAUUUUAACUCGGCACGGAAAAUAUAAAACAAACUCGGAUCGUAAAAACGGAUCGUAAAAUCGUAAAAUCAUAAGGAAUUUUAAAAUACAUUAAAAAAAAUUCAUGCUUCAAAUAAAAAUUCAUAGCACUUUAAAAUACAUGGUUCAAAUAAAAAUUCAUACAUAAUUUAAAUAACUUUUUAUUAAUUAAUAAUUAACAAACUUUUUGUUAUAUAUUACAAUUCACAAAACUAUAAUACUUUCAAUCUGCUUCAGUACAUAUACUAUACAAUUAUUUUUUUUUGGAAAAUCAGGCAGAGACAAAUUCCAAUUUCAAUCAGGCAGAGACACAUUCUAAUUUCCACAUUUCACAGGCACAUUCAAUUAGGCAAACACAUUCCAUUAAAAUCAUUCCAUCAAUUCAUCAUACUAAACGAACUCAAUGCUUUUACAGUUUUACAAAACAUUAUCAGGAAUCCUAUCCGGGGCAAUACUGAUGGAUUUCGAUGAAAGGACCUUGAUCAGGAUACUAAGCAAAACAUCAGCUUUACACUAAAAUCAUUCCAUCAAUUCAAUUCAUCAUACUAAGCAAAACAUUAUAAAAUCAUUCCAUCAAUUCAAUUCAUCAACAUCUGUACAGGGGAAUAUUACACUAUUACAGUUUAACAUUUUGAAGGCCUACACAGGGGAAUAUUACAUCAUGGGCAAUCACAUGAAGGCUGAAGAUACAGGGGAGCAACUUACGGUGAAGAGGAAGCCGUUGAUGAUGAAGGCUGAAGAGGAGAACGAUAUCGCCUGCUACUGUUGAUAAAGAGGAAGCCGUGAGCUGUUGAUGAUGGGAAAUAAAGGAGAUCGUCGCCGCCUCGCCGCUGUUGAUGAAAAGGAAGCCGUGACCGUGAGCACUGGUGACUGGAGUGAAGACUGGACUGAUGACUGGAGUGAAGACCGGACCGAUGACUGGGUCACUGGAGUGAAGACUGGACUGAUCGUCGCCGCUUUUGUGGUAGCUGGUUGGUUAAUAGAGAAGGAGAUUAGGGAUUUGUAUUCAGUGAAAAGGAAGAAACACCCAAAAUGCGAUCUGGCAUGAUGACUGGAGUGAAGAUUUGGAGUGACUGUGCAUUUAGCCAGCCAAUAGACGCCGGACAGCUAGAGCAUGGGAGAAACAUUUACUUCAGUUUAUGCAUAUUGGUGAAAUCGUUCAAUCGGUCCUGAAAUCGCGAUUUUAUGCGAUUUCAUCCGAUUUUAACGAUUUCACCCGAUUUCACCCAUUUUCGAUUUUUCCAAACGAUUCAACACGCAAAGCAUGUUUUGACUCGUAAAAUCGUACGAUUUUACGAGUCAAAACGCGAUUUUAACAACCUUGAUGCCAUGUUUCCCAUUUCCUUGUUGCACACAUGUUAUAGCUUUUACUAGCUUUGAUACCUGCGCAAUACUGCGAGCGUUUUAAGUAAAAUUUGAUUCUAAUUAUUAUAAUAAACAAUGAUAAAAUAAUCAGAAAUAUUAUACAACAGCAAAAAAACAUGAUAUUUAUAAAAUUGGUGGUGAAUUGUAAAAGUUAAGUAAAGGCAAUUAAAUCCAAGUAGAAUAAAAGUGUCUAAGCUAAAUAUUUUAUGCUUAAUUUAUACAUAUAGAUAGAAAAGUGGACGUCAAUGAGCAACAGGUUGUAAUAAAAAAGCACGUGAUGAAGAUGUUCAAUCAGUUUGCGAUGUUGGAUAAGAAAGCAUUGAUUAACCAAAUGUUAAUUUUUUUCCUAAGCUAUAAAUUAUUGUUAAAUCAAUAAACAUCAAAUAUUCUUGAAGAUAAAUAAGAAAUGAGAAAUAAAGAUGUAAUUAUUGCUGAGUAUAUGAGUUCACAAAGAAGGGAAGGCAAUUAGAAAGCGAGAAUGAUAUAGUUAAUUGUUUGUUAAACAAAGAGAUGGUAGAGCAGUAUAGAGAGCUAACUAAAUAAUAUUGGAGAUGCAAACCUUUUCAGAUGAUAAAAUGGAGAGGUGUUGCUUCUUUGAAAGUGCUGGUGCAGGACCGACAUCAAUAUCUCCGCAAAGAUGUUCACUUGAUGAGCCUGCAUAAUCUUCCAAGGGUCCUGUAUGGUCAUCCAUCACGCCCAAAAAAGAACAACCUUUGCUCAUUAAGUAGUUUUGUUUUGACAACAAUAAGUUGGAAAUACAAACCCCCUUCUCGCUCUAAAGGAUAUAUAAUUGAAGAAAUAAGUUGAACAAAUGUGAUGAAGAUACAAUAAUAAAAGAUCAAGGAGAGCUAAAAAAGAACAUUAUGUGUUGUUAAACAUUGAAAUACCAUAUCCAUGAUUAAGCAUGCAAGGAAAUGGAAAGGCAUAAAGCCAAUAAGUUAUGCCGUAUAUAUGCAAGGAAAUGGAAAUCGAAAGGCAUGAUGAUCCUGACAAGCGCCAAGAAGAAGAAGUUAUGCUGUAUGCAAGGACAUAUUGGAAAUUAAGGCAAGAAAACAAAAACAAAAUCUGCAAAGAAUAAGGACAAUAAUUUUUGUAAUUUUUUAAUGAGAGUGUCUUAUGUUUUGUCAUCUUUAAAAAAAAUUAAAAAAAUAGGGUAAGAAUUUUUAUUUUUAUUUUAUAAAAUCCAAUUAUAAUUCGUAGAUUGACAUAUAUAAACACUGCUAAAAAAAGGGAAUUAUGACCUCCCUCUUUUAUAUGGUCUUCAGGCAUGCCAAAUCCGUUGUAAGCUCAUGUUUUUAAACGAAGAAUAAUUAACCUAACCUCAUCAUAAAAACCAAUGCUUAAUUAUAUCUAAUAAAACAACAUGUCUUAAUAAAUAUAUAACCCAAGUUUUAAUUGUGAUGCUGAGAAACAUAUACAAAUUAAUAUACAAUAUGAUGAACCAUAUGUGUCUUUUUUUCAUGACAAUUAAAUAAUCUCUCAUAAAUGGACCUUGAAUCCCUAAAUAUAAAGACAAUAGUAGACCGAAAAACCUAGAAAGGAUAGGAAAUUUUUUUUGUUUUUCUUCUCCAACACCAAGAAACAUCGCAGAGGUGAAAUUAGUAAACGAAAUAAAUCAAUGGUUAGAAACAACAAAAAUCAAGAAUUGGCCUAACAGAUCUUUCAAACUAAUUUUUGUAACUAUUUGUAUGGCCACCCAUUAUGCCAAAAAAAGAAGAAGCAACCUUUGCUCGUUAACUGGUCUCUGAUACUAAUUUUUAAACGAUUUGCAUGACCAUCCAUUACUGGUAAAUAAAAAAAAAACCUUUAUUCAUUAAGUUUUGUUUUGACAACAUAAACACUGUCUCUGUAUAUCAAAAAAGAAAAAAAAAAUAAGAGACAUAAAAAAUAAACAACAGAACUCGCAUGUUAAGAGUUUAUAAGGAAAAGUGCAGGAAUGCAGGAUUAAAACUUGUAAAAUACAACAUUGAAAAAUAAAUUUACAUGGAGAAGCAUGAAAUAGGAACAAAACAAAAAUAUCUUGCAGGAUCCUAUUUUCUUGAAAGAAACUGGGAUGACUUGAAAUGUCAACAGAGGUUAACCGAAUAAUCGGUGGGAAUCCCCCUCACUAAUGACUCAGCUCCAAAAAAAGCAUUCUCGUGGAAAUAGAGCAACGAAAACAAAAUUAAAAAAUACAGAGCAAUUAAAAUCUUGAAGACUAAAAUUAAGGGUUUAAAAAAUACAAAGCAACUCAAAUUUGUAUUGUUGGGGGUUGCCUUUGUUUGGCAGACAAUUUUUUUGUCCUAUUUUGAUUGCUACAGUUUAUUCAUUUUUUUAAAAUAGUGUUGGUAUAAUUUUAUUGCAUCUCAAUUGUUAAUAUAUCUCAGCAUCACAUGGUAUAUUCUAAUUUUUUUUUACACCACGAUGAAACUCUCAAAAGUCGAGCUCUUAUAUAUCUAGAUUACAGAAAUUGUAAAAUAGAGAAUUGAAAUCCGGUAUUGGUACUGGCUUAAUAAUUAAAGUGGAUAAUUUCUAUUGGCCACUUUAUUUUCCUUACAUCUAAUAAAUGGUCUAGAUCGAGUGCUAGGCAAAAGAAACGGCUAACAUUUUCUGGGCAAGAUAAAAUCCUUGCAAUAUUUGCAUGUCAUAACAGAUGCCUUAUGCACUAAACAAAUAGUUGGCCAGUGGCUUAUAUGUGCUAAAAUUGAAAGCCAUAUAUUAAGUAUUAUGGAAACAAAAUGCAACAAAGUGCCCUCUCAGCCCUUCCAUGCACAAUAAUUUGAGAUGCAGACAACAACAUGAAUACAGUAAUUUCUCACAACACAAUCUUAAAAGCAAAAAACAGAGGCAUGUUCUAACCUUGAAGUUUAAGUCCUCUCCUGAAAGAUGAUCUGAUAGAGGAAAUGAAGAGUAGUAGCAACCAAGAAAAACCGAUGAUAAAUAACAGGGAAAUGGAAAAAGACUAAUGCAUAAAAUCGACAACAAACCAACAGGCAAUUAUGGGUGAAAUAAAAAAGAAGAAACGAUGAAGAACCUAAGAACCAAUGCACGGUAAAAAAAAGUACUACCCUGAAAAAACAUGCAAAUGAAAAAUAAGAAAGCAUGACAAAUUGGCAUGCACUAAAAAAAAAACACAUCCCACUUGAACCCUCGACAACGCUACUUGUUGAUAAAAGCUAACCCAACCCAAAAAAUAAAAGUUGCACAAAAAACACCUUAUAAUAUCAUAAGAGAGCUGGGAGUCGAGAGAAUUGAAUUACUAAAAAACACUCCAGAAGAGCACCACCCAUGCAAUAAAGCAAUUACAGAAAAAAAAAAAAAAAAACAAAAAAAACAAAAAGGGCUUGCCAAUUAUACUAACCAAAAUAGAAGUGCUAACUAAAUCAUAACAAGAAAUAACAAAGAGGUAAGGGCAAGUAUGUAUGUAUAAUGAUGUCAAUGUCAUAUUCAUUUAAUACACAACUCCACAGCUAGCUAUGCAUAUAUUUUAUCCCCAUGCCUAAGCCAUUGGUGAACACAGCUUCCAAAACACGAAAAUCAGUUGUGUAAGCUCAUUGUCUCUUGGCAUGUUCCUUUAAUUAUUUUCAAGCUGAUGGCAAGUCAGAAAAUCUAGCAACCCCCUCAACUGUAGAGAAGAAGGGAAGACCCAAUUGCAGAGAAAGAGAAAAGACAAUGUAAAUUUUCAAAGCAUUUAAUGCACCAAUAUCAUGAUCUCGCUUCUGUAAGUCAAAUACUUUCCAAGCUAAAAAAAAAACCAGACAUCUAGCUACAGUGUAGUAAUAAUAUAAUAAUAACUAUAAAAAAAAUGUUUUGUGGGGAAAGCUACAGUGCUUUCCCCACGUGUUUUAGAGUUCUUUUAAUAAUCUUAGAGAGCCUCCUGUUAAAUAAUACAUUUAUCUUGUUUUAUUUAGUAAUGGUAGAAUAAUAUUUUUAGCUUAGCCUAUAUAUAAGAUCUUUGUAUUUAGGUUAAAUAAUAUACUUUUCAUAUAUCAACAAAAGGAGAAUUCUAGCCUCCCUCUCUUUCGUGUUCGUAUUUAUUUUGUGUUAAUUGAAUUGGUAUCAGAGCUGGUUUUAUAGAACGAGACUUAAUCUCAAACACAACUUUCACGUAUUUAUAAACAAAUUUUUUUUUAGUGAUAUUUUGUCUUCCGCUUCUACAAAAAUUGGUAUUUCAUGUUUCCUUCAGCUUCUGCAAUUUGAUAUUUGCGUUCAAUUUCUGCAAUUAUUUUGGUAUUUUGUCUUCCCUUCUAUUUGUGCAAUUUGGUAUUUGCGUUCAGCUUCUGCAAAUUUGUUUUGUGUUUUGGCAUAAUCGUAGAAAUUCAAGAAGAUAUUUGUUUAGUUUCUACAAUCUCUGUUCAGUUUCUGCAAUUUGGUAUUUUCUGCAAUCUCUGGCGUAAUCGUAUAAUAAUAUUUUCUGCAAUCAUAUAACCUUUUAUCUUAAUCGUAUAACGCAGACGCAUAGGUAGGGCAACCCAAGCGUUCAAUUUCUGCAAAUUUGUUUUGUUUUUUGGUUGCCUGCCCUUGCGCUGGGUUAGACCCGAGUGCUAUGUGGCGCUGGGGCUGGCUUGCCAAGAGCGCACACCCAUACCCGUGCGCCAUGUGGCGAGACCUAGCGCUUGGGCUACCCUGCCUAUACGCCUGCGUCAGGAUCCAAUGGUAAUUGGCCGUUGUCAGGACCCAAUUCGCUUCGGUCCUGCGCUAGGACCUAAUGGUAAUGGGUCCUGCGCUGGACCUAAUGGCGAUUGGUCUAGUGCAGGACCUAAUGGCAAUGGGUCUUCCGCAUGAUCCAAUAGUAAUGGAUCUUGCCUCAAGACCCAAUUCGCUUGGGUCCUCGCCAGGACCCAAAUAAUUUAUGUUAUAAAUAUUCUUCAGUUUUCUUAAUAUAAUAAUAUAUGUUAUAAAUAUUAUUAUUUUUCUUAUAAUUCAAAGUGUUCAUAUCAAAAAUACUAUUAUUUGUGUUAUAAAUAUUAUUAUUUGUAUUAUAAUUAAUAUUAUUAAUAAAAUAAUUAAUAAAGUUGAAAAAAAAAUAUUAUUAAUAUUAAAAAAAUAUUAUUUUUUAUAUUAUAAAUUUUUACAGUAUUUUUUAUAAAAAUAAAAGGAAUAAAAAUAAAGAGAUGGCGCGAAUACGGAACAUGCAUCCGUACUCUGGUACUAUAAUCUUUAUACUAAGACAGCCACAAGGAAGCAAAGCCCACCUCCUUGAAUUGUAAUUCGUGAAAGCCAUGGAAUUCUGUCAAACCAAAAUCAAAAGUAGCCUAUCCUACGAGGUCCAUCUUGUUCUAUUUUUGAAAACUUCUCAACUUGCUGAUAGUUAUCGAGUUCAGUGGCUCAGCCAGGUAAGCUUGAGUUCUUGCUGAUAAUUCUUGUGCCACAAAAUGCAUGGUGGGCCGUGCCUCUGGCUUGGUUUGUGUGCAUGCUAAGGCCACUGUAACUACGAAAACAACUUCCUCUGCUGCUUGGCCUGUGGGAGCUUCGAGCCGCGGGUCUAGCACAUCCUUUAGAAACAACUCUGGAUCGCUUGACAAUGGUGGUUUCAUUGAUGACAAUGAAGAUAAGAGGUCUCCCGGGUGCCUUCCCAUCAUGACUUCCAAAGCAACCACCCCAAAGCUAUACACAUCGCAUUUGUCUGUGACCCGCAUUGUUUGUGCCAGUUCUGAAAUCACCAGGCAAUCAAAAUGAACAUUUGAAACAUCCAGUAUGAAAGUUUUUAACAUCAUGCCAUGUUUCUCAUUUCCUUGUUGUACACAUGUUAUAGCUUUUAUAAUUUUAGAGCAGAUACUCAAAUGACAAGAACACAAAUCAAGAACAUAGGAUUGUUGUCUUACCUGGAGCCAUGUAGCCAUAAGACCCAGCAACUGCAGUCCAGUUGGAGGAAUCUGUAUUCAAGAGUCUUGCUGUGCCAAAAUCCGCAAGACGUGGCUCAAAAUCUGUCUCUAGCAAAAUGUUGUUCAGUGAUAUGUCACGGUGCAAGUAGGCAAUUGCAUGAGCAACUCCUCGCACUGUAUUCACUCUCCUGCCCCAACCAAGCUCCACUUCCCCUUCUAUCCCAUACAACACUUUUCCCAGACUUCCUCUUUCAACAUGCUCGUAAACCAGGUACAAGCAGCCCCUCCUGGAGCAAAACCCAUAAAGCUUUAUGAUGUUCCGGUGCCUACCUUCUGUCAGCAUUUGAAUCUCAUUCUCGAAACUCUGGCGAUUGGUUGCUGGGAUGUCACUGGAGUCUGACAUGUUGAGUUUCUUGACCGCAACUACUUGACCUGUAGACAAUACUGCUUUGUAAACACUACCAAAUCCUCCUCUUCCAAUGCAGUACUUCUCGUUGAAGUCAUCAGUGGCCUUGACAAUAUCCCCCAAAUGUGAAUUUGCUUUCUCUUUCCCAUAUCACUGACUUGGAACUCUCACCAUUGUUGACUAUUUUGGUCUCUUCAUCAAGCAGUUUGGUUUUUCGGAAACAUAGCAUAACAGCAAAGAUAGUUGCUAUUACUAAUAAGCCACAAACCGGAACGAUAACACCAAUAAGAACCUUUUUGUUAUCCUUCAAGGUCUUGCUACUGUCUGUUGUUGGACAUUGUGAUAGUCCUUCACCGCACAAUCCUGAAUUUCCAACAAAAGAUCUUGCGGAUGCAUUUUUGAAAAUGCUUCCAGUUGGUAUACGACCUGUCAACUCAUUGUAUGAGAAAUCAAAAGAAGACAGGCUAACCAUGGAAGACAGCGAAUCUGGGAUUCUUCCUGAGAGAUGGUUAUGUGAGACAUUGAGAGUCUCCAACCGCGAUAGCUUUCUAAAAUUUUGAGGUAUGGCUCCUGAGAGUGAGUUGCUGCUAAGAUCCAACAAGUACCGCAACGAGUUUAAGUUGCCCAGUUCAAAAGGUAUUUCACCAGCAAGGUUGUUGUGGCUCAAGUUCAAGCUUGAUAGCUUCUCAUAACUCCCAAGCUCUUUUGAUAUGUUUCCAGUCAGCUUGUUAUCAGAUAAGUCGAGAGAUUCAAGGCCUAGCAAGGUGCUUAGACUCUGAGGUACCUCCCCUGUCAAGUGAUUGUUGCUCAAAUUGAGGUUGAAUAACAUGCUCAGAUUUCCCAGUUCAGCAUGAAUCCUCCCAGUCAGGUCAUUGGAGCCCAGACUUAGAACUCGCAGCUGGGGCAACUUCCCAAGCUCAGCAGGGAUUUCCCCAGAAAUUCUGUUUCCGUCCAUCUGUAAAUUGGUGAGGUUUUUACAUUCUCCCCAAUCUGGUGAGAUUUCACCAAUAAAUUGAUUGUAACUGAGGGCAACAAAAACAAGUCUUUCCUGCAGCUCCACCUCUCGAACAGUCUCUCAAAUAAACCUUCGCAGCCUAAACAUAACUGGAACACUCGCCCAUUUCAACUUCACCCCUUUUACUGGUCUCACCAAGUUUGACAUCCAGAAUAUCAACGUCAAUAGAACGAUACAUCAGCCAUUGGCAGCCUCUCCAACCUCACUCACUUGGACCUCAGUGUCAACUUCUUCGAGGGCAGCAUACCUGUGGAGAUAUCUCAGUUGACAGAGCUUCGGUAUCUUAGUCUUUACAACAACAAUCUCAACGGUAUCAUCCCCUUUCAACUUGCCAAUCUUCCCAAGGCAAGACACUUGGACCUUGGAGCAAACUACCUGGAAAAUCAAUUUCCACUUCUGGUGGAAUUUUACCGUUGAUGUUAUUUGAGAAAAGAUUCAGGAUUUGAAGAUUUGUGAGAUUCCAUAAUGCUGGAGGAAGGGGGCCUGAAAGCUGGUUUCCUGAAAGGUCUAGACUUAAUAACUCCUUCAAGUUUCCUAUCUCCGGGGGAAUGGAACCAGAGAAUGUGUUAUUAUACAGAAAAAGGUAUUGAAGCAUUGUCAAUUUCCCAAUUUCUGGAGGAAUAUUUCCAGAAAACAAAUUGUUUUGAACCUGAAGCGAGAUCAAUUCAGUCCAGUUGGAUAUAAGGGUAGGUGAGAUCUCACCGGAGAGAGAGUUUUCAGAUAAACCCAUAUCUGCUAUUUUAGCUAGAUUGGACAAAGACAAAGGCAAUUCCCCACUUAGUUGAUUAUCAGCCAAGGUCAAGUAGGUGAGGUUAGUGCAAAGACCAAGCUCAGGAGGGAUCGUUGAGUUCAAGGCAUUCAUCCGGAGAUCAAGCUUUUCAAGAUGCUUAAGUUGGCCUAUAGAAGGUGGAAUAUUUCCUUGGAAAGAAUUGCCGAACAACUCAACAAUUUGAAGACCAGAUAUCGAACCAAUGCUUUCGGGAAUUUGACCACUCAACAGGUUAUUUUGUAGACUGAUGUUUUUGAGAUUGGAAAGCUUCGAAAUGUUGGAUGACAAUGGUCCUAGGAAUGAAUUAUUAUAGAGAUUCAAGGCCUCAAGCUUUCCCAGAUUGGUAUAGACCAAUUCUGGUAUUUGGCCUGUGAAUUUAUUGAGUGACAAAUCCAGAAACGUCAAGUUCCGGCAAUUGGUUAUAAAAUGGGGGAAUUCUGCAGUAAGUUCAUUGAGAAAAAAACUAAGAUAUUCCAAAGAAGGCAUGGAAAACUUGGACCAGUCAGGGUUUUCGAGGUAGUUUGCUCCUAGGUCCAAGUGUCUUACCUUGGGAAGAUUGGCAAGUUGAAAGGGGAUGAUACCGUUGAGAUUGUUGUUGUAAAGACUAAGAUACUGAAGCUCUGUCAACUGAGAUAUCUCCACAGGUAUGCUGCCCUCGAAGAGGUUGCACUGAGGUCCAGUGAGUGAGCUUGGAGAGCUGCCCAUGCUGAUGGUAUCGUUCCAGUGACGNNNNNNNNNNNNNNNNNNNNNNNNNNNNNNNNNNNNNNNNNNNNNNNNNNNNNNNNNNNNNNNNNNNNNNNNNNNNNNNNNNNNNNNNNNNNNNNNNNNNNNNNNNNNNNNNNNNNNNNNNNNNNNNNNNNNNNNNNNNNNNNNNNNNNNNNNNNNNNNNNNNNNNNNNNNNNNNNNNNNNNNNNNNNNNNNNNNNNNNNNNNNNNNNNNNNNNNNNNNNNNNNNNNNNNNNNNNNNNNNNNNNNNNNNNNNNNNNNNNNNNNNNNNNNNNNNNNNNNNNNNNNNNNNNNNNNNNNNNNNNNNNNNNNNNNNNNNNNNNNNNNNNNNNNNNNNNNNNNNNNNNNNNNNNNNNNNNNNNNNNNNNNNNNNNNNNNNNNNNNNNNNNNNNNNNNNNNNNNNNNNNNNNNNNNNNNNNNNNNNNNNNNNNNNNNNNNNNNNNAAUAUAGUUAAGUCUCGUUGAUUUUUUAUACGCAUUCGUUAAUUCCAUCACAUGAUGACCAAGACCUCUCUUUGAUAAUGAUGGUCACUUUAAAUUAAUUUAUGAACUAUUUUUUUUGAAUUUCAACUUUAAUAUCAACACUUGGAAGAAUCUAUUCCUCUAAAUUAAUUAGAAUCAUAUGAAGAUGGUAGAUUAAAAUAUUUAAAGAAAAAAUAAUUUAGUUUUGAUUUUGGAGGAUAUUCAUUAACCUUGAAUAUAAAAAAAUAUUAUAUUUUUCCUUACCUUUCUUGUAGAUAUUUAACAUCAAAACCUAAAGAUUCAUAAUUAAACUAUGUAUAAUCUAGGUAUAGAUGUAUAAAACUCAGUUAUAAAACUUUGUCUAUAUUUAUCUGUUAUUGGACUAACCUGAACCGAGUGAGUGUUUAGAAUUGUGAUAUUUUUUAUUUUUUAUUAUAAUAUUAUUUUUAAUAAUUUUUAAAGAUUUUAAUAAGUUGAUAUAAAAAAUAAUAAUAAAAAAUAUUUUAAUAUAUUUUUAAAUAAAAAAUAAUUUUACUAAAUUCUCUGCACUAUAAUACUAAAAAUAUACUGAACUUUUUUUUUUUUUUUAAAUAUUGUUUAGGGUUUUCAAAAAAGUGAAGGAUUAUCUUGGUCUUCCCACUAAUGGACCCACUCUAUAGUAUAAAGCUAAGAAGAUUGACUCUAAUUUGAGCUCAUAAUUAAGCCAGUCAAACUGCCCCACAAAGUCAGUCCACUUUUGAACUUUCAAAAAAAAUCAAAAUCAAAAUUAAAUGAACUUGGAGAAACUUGGUGAAUCAAUUGACCUUAGGGUUCUAUCAAAACUAAAAAUUUAUAGCACAAAUAACUAUAUUAAGAAAUUUAAGAAUAUUUAUAACACAAAUAAUAAUAUUUUUAUAUUAAUACUUUGAAUUAUAAUAAAAAUAAUAUAUUUAGAAACCCAAGAAUAUUUCUAACACAAAUAAUAAUAUUUUUUAUAUGAAUAUUAAAAAAAAACCAGUGCAGUUAAUUGAUUUCACUCACACUGUUCACGUGAACGUGAACGUGAACAAUAAUUUUUUUUUUGUUUUUUAAAAAAAUUAGUUUAAGGUGAAUUAAAUUUACUCGUACUGUAAUCUCAAUUUUAUUCCUGAUAAUAUUUUACCUAAUUUUAUAGUUCUUGUCGAAUGAAUUUUGUACGUAAUGGAAUUGUAGAUAGUUUAAUGGAACAAUAAAUUUUUUUAAUAUAAAGUAUGAUUUAUUUCAUGAUAUAAUAGCAAUAGUUAAAUCCACAAUAUUUAAAUUAAAAAUCAUCAAUAUUAAUAUAUAUAUUUUUUAAAUUAUUUUAUAACCUCAAUUUCAAAAGCAUUCUUAACCAAACACAUUAAACUACUUUUUCUUCAACCUCAAUUUCAACCACAAUUUUAACCAAACACCUAUUUUUUCAAACCACAACAACUAUCACAAUACCAAAUCAACACACUAAACUAUUUAAGUAAUAGCUAAAUAAACUUUCCUAUUUAAAAUCAAAUCAAGUCAAACAAAUUUUAAAACCUAACUAAGAAAUGAAUCUGAAAAUAACCAUAUAAAUAAAUAAAAUUAUUAAACAACAACUUUCAAACCUAAUUUUGGCUUGAUAUUGACUUUCAAUGGUGCUAACAGGAUAAAAUUAUAUUUUUUUCGUUAAAAAACUCAUUAGGCCUCUCCAUACUUUUUAAAAGUGUUUUUUAUUUUAAAAUAUAUUAAAAUAAUUUAUUUUUAUUUUUAAUACCAACAUAUUAAAACACCAAAAAAAUCAUCGAUUUCAUGAUUUUCCACAUUGUAUAUAUUUUUAAAAAAUACUAAAAAAUAAAAGCCACAACACUCUCAAAUAGUCCAAAAAGAUUCAUUUAAAGUUAACUCAAGUUUUGGUUUUAGAAGAAGAAAUUCAAAAUAAAAUUAGUUUAUAUUUCUUUUUAAUAAAAAAAACCAAGUUUUGGGCCAAACCUUAAAUUAAUACUGAAAAAUUAAUACUAAAAAAACACCAUGCUUUGUUAAAUAAAAUAUGAAAUCAUAUGUAAAAUAAAAUUUAAAGAUUCAAAGCUAAAAUCAUGAAAUUAAUACUAAAAAAACACCAAAUUAAUAUUUUGUUAAGUAAAAUAUACUUUUGAAAUGCUUCUAAAAAUAAAAGCCAUGGCACGUUUAAAACACUUGUGAAUGAAUGGCUUGAUUAAAGUAACAUAUGAAGAUCUUAAUUAAUAACUCUAUUGACUUAAACAAAAGUAAUUAUGAUCUUAAUUAAUAAUUCCAUCGACUAUCAAUUUCUUCUCCGUGGGUGGCCUGUAGCCAUGCCUUAUCUAAAAAAAGAAAAAAACACUCAUAAUAGAUUUUGUUUUAUUCUAUACUGGUUAGGUAGUCAGCGUUACGCUGUGGGCUCAUAUAUCAUUUUAUUAAAAAAAUAUUAUAAAAAUUUAAGACCUAAAAACAUUGGAUUCGACUGUAACAUCGGACUCAAGAGCAUUGAAUUUGGUUGCAACACAAAACCCAACAAUAAUAUUUAUAAUAUUAAUAAUAAUAUUUAACUUGUCUGUCAAUUUUUUUAUUUUUUUUAAUCUUUCAAAAAACAUUUAUUUUUAUUUUAACUUGUCUGUCAAAUUUUUUAUUUUUUUUAAUCUUUCAAAAAACAUUAUGGUAAUUUUAUACUUCAAAUUUAUUAAUUAUAAUAAUAAUAAUAUUAACAACACAAAUAAUACUAUUUUUAAUAUUAAUACUUUUAAUUAUAAUAAAAAUAAUAUUAUUUAUAACAAAAAUAAUAAUAUUUUUGAUAUUAAUACUUUUAAUUAUAAUAAUAAUAAUAAUAAUAAUAAUUAUUAUUAUUAUUAUUAUUAUUAUUAUAAAAAUAAUUAUAUUUAGAAACCUAAAAGCUUUGGAUUCUGACACAGCCCAAGGGAAUUAGAUCUUGACGCAUGACUUAUUAGCCUUGGAUCCUGAUGCAGGACCUAAGAGAUUGAGUCCUGAUGAAGGACCAAUAAUUUUGGGUCAGGCGGGGUUGCAGACCCAAUGGAUUUGGGUUUGCGCCCUAGCCACACCCAAGCUCCCUUAGGUGUGGUUCCUUUUUCCGGCUUCAAGUUUCUUGGGUCUGGAAGAGAAUGCAUGACCCAAGAGAAAAGAAAAAAAAUGAAAAAAAAAUUAUUGAUGUGUCCUUGGAGAGAUAGGACCCAAGCUGAUGGGUCAUGCUUCUGCUGGACCCAACUUAAUAUCAGACCCAAUCUUAAUAUAUUUUAAAAAAAUUAAAAAAUACAAAACAUCAAAAAUAUUAAUUUGAAAUAAAAAAAACAAUAAAAAAUUUCAAUUUUUUUUCAAAGAAUUUUUUAAACACAAAACCAAACAUACUUUAAUAAGAAAAUUCAACCUCAUCUGAAAUGAAAAACAAUUAUCAUCACCCAAUUUUGUAUAAUAUGAAAACAAAAGUCACAUUAAUUUAUUUUCUCUUUAUAGUAUGAAAAAAAUUCAAUAAAAGAAAAGAAAAAAAGUUUCAAGAGGUAAAAAAAUAAAAUUAGAAAUAUUUUAAAAUAUUUUUUUUAAAAUAUAUUGAGAUAAUAUUUUUAAUUUUUUUAAAUCUAUUUUAUAUAUAAUCACAUCAAAAUAUUAUAAAAACAUCUUAAUAUGAAUUAAAUGGAAAAAAUUAAUUUGAAGUAAAGAAAAAAAUAAAAAAUUAUCAAUUCUUUUUCAAAGCAUUUUUUAAAACCAAAACCAAACAUGCUUUAAUAAGGAAAUUUAACCCCACCUAAAAUGAUAACAAUAAAUAAUAAUUUUUUUUUCAAUUUACUAAUGAUAACAAUAAAUAAAGAUAAAAAUAAAAUAAUUCUUAAGUUUACCUUUCAAAUCAAAUCUAUUAUUUCUUUUCUAUAUUAAUAAUAUUUUUUCUGAUUUAUUAAUUAUUAUGUUAGUAAUAUUAAUUAUACUCAAAAUAAUAAUAUUGAUAAUACAAAUAAUAGUAUUUUGAAUAUUAAUAAUAUUAAUUAUAAUAAAAAUAAUAUUAUUUAUAAGAAUAAUAAUAAAAAUAAUUUUAAUAUUAAUACUUUUAAUUAUAAUAACCAAGUGUAAAGUGAUAAAUAUGUUAAAUAUAAGGAAUUUGUUUUUCAAAAAAAAGUGUGAAGAAAAAAAAAGAAAACUAAACAAAUAUCACAAAAAAAUAAAGAUAAGAAAAACAAAUUGUGAUAAAUAGGUAAAUUAUAAAAUGAUAAAAAUUUCAAGUAUAAAGAGAUAAAUAUUAAGAAAUUUUUUUUCAAAAAAUAUAAUAAUGAAAAUUAAAAAUUUACCACUACUACGGUAAGAAAUUUGAAGAAAAUUUCAAUUGUACCAUUUCUACAAUAAUUUGUUUUUACAAAAAAAAGUGUAAAGAAAAAAAUAAGGAAAAACUAAAAAACAUAUUACAAAAGAAUAAAUAUAAAAAAUAGUGAUAAAUAGAUAAAGUGUAAAAUAAUAAAAAUAUCAAGUAUAAAAAGAGAAAAAGAAUAAAAAAACAAAUUGUUUUUUUUUUUUAAUAAAAACCUCAAAAAUUACAAUUUUGCUACUGCUAUCUAUCGUAAAAUUUACAAUUAUGCAAUUUCUACGUGAAAACAUCAUUUCCUAUAAUAAUAACCUAGAAUUUGAAUUUUCAACUCCUAAUUAAUUGCUUUUUUGCUAGCUUAAAAAUAUAAUAAUAAAAAUAUUAUUUUUAUAUAUCUAGUAAUUAAUAACCUUAAAAGAUUUGAUAAUUUACUUGUGUAUGCCAAGAUAAAAUAAACAAGUCCUACAUUAACAGUAAAAAAUCAGUUUGGUAACUAAGAAAGUGUAUUUUUUUUUUAUUUUUAGGAUUUAAACUUUAAUAUCAACACUUGGAAGAACCCAUUCCUCUAAACUUAUCAGACUAAUAUGAAAAUUAUUUAUUAAAUAUUUUUUUAAAAGAGAAUCUAGUUUUUUUUUUUUGCAUAUAAAUUAGUUUGAGGAUAUUCAUUAACCUCAAAUAAAAAAAAUAUAUUUUAUCUUAUAUUUCCUUACAGAUAUGAAAAAUUAAAAUUGAAAGCUUAACUAUGUAUAAUCCAGGAAUAGUCAGGGUUAACCAGUAAAUGAUUUUUUUUAAACCAUGUGUCAAGGGCUUAAAAAAAAAGCAUAUUGAAUCUCAUCAAUCCUUUUUUUAUGAGGAAUCCAAGGUAAAUUCAGAGAACAAGGAGACUGUGAACUCUUGGUAUCCUUGGAGUCUUCAUCAAUUCUGUAGUAUUUAUUAUGUACAACUCUCUCUCUCUCUCUCCUUUUAUUUUUCUCCAGGCAAAUAUAUUAUUAUUAUUAUUAUUAUUAUUAUUAUCAACAAUAAAUUAAAAGAGUUAAAAAUUAAAUUUAAUAAUUUAUUUUAAUUUAUUUUCUAUAGAAUUAUCACAGUUUCAUAACCUUGAUCACGAGUUUGACAGAUCAACCCAAACUAACUCAAGUCAUUUUUUAUGUUUAUUUUCUAUAAAUAUAUUUCAAUCUCAUGACUUAAGUUAAACCAGAUCGAUUUUUUAAUUGAUUUUUCUCAAUUUCAUUCUUUAACACUAGGUUGAUUGAGAAUUGAACUUUAUAAUUUACUUUAAUCUUCUUUAUAUGGAGUAUCAUAAUCUCAUGAUCUGGUUGUGAAUCUAAUAGGUUAACCCAGAUUUUCCCCAAUCUAUCCAAUAUAUUUUUAUUUUAAUAUUUUAUUUUAAAAAAAUAUUGUCUUGAAUUUUUGAGAGUCGAAUUAUAUUUUUUUUAUGGCUGUUUAUGUUGUUUUUUUACUCAUCAAAUUGAUUAGAUUACGUCAAUUACUAGAAAAACAUUAAUAAUACAUGGAUGUUUUUUAAUAUAUAUUCAAAAACAAUUUGAAUAAACCCCGUGAAUAAUCAAUCUAGUAUACACUAAAGAAGUUAUUCAGUCUGGCUCUUAUGAAAUCAUGUCAACCCACGUAUUCAUGACUUCCCCCUCUUCAGAGGGCCCAUUUAUUCAUGUUUUAAAUCUUGUAAACCUAUGUAUUCUAGGUUUAGGCUUACUGCUGAGUUUCCAGGCUUUCAUCUUUUCUGGGUUUAGUGUUCAUUCGCUGAAGAUUAACUUAGGUACUUGAUUUACAUUUAUUUUAUUAUUAAUUGGUUCUUAUAUAUGUGAAUGGUUUUUUUAUUAUUAAUCUAGGAUUUUAAUAAAUUAAAACCAGUUCAUUUUUUAAAUUUGUUUUUAUAAAAUCAAUUAAUCAUAAUGAUUGUAUAUUCAUUAUGAUGAUCUACCCUUAAAUCCUUGUUUGAAUAAUGUUUUUUUAUAUGUUCUCAUGCCUUUAAUUUGAUGUAAUAUGGUUAAAAUUAAAAUCCACGUUAGUUUUUUAGUUUUUCAUGCUAUUCUCACUUUUCUCGAUGAGAUUCAAGCCAAAAAAAUCUUAUUUGAUUUUUAAUUUUUUGUUUAUGUUUCCAAACUAUAUUUCUGGGCUUGGACUUUGGGUUAGGAAAUUCAGGUCAUGUGGCUGGGCUGAUUACAUUAGCUUAAGGUCAUGUUUGACAUGUUUAAUUUUUAUCAAAGAAAAAAAAAGCAAUAUUUUGUCCUUAAGACAUUUUUGCUUAAUAUGAUCUUAAGAUAUUGUUUAAGCUUCUGACUUAUAGUUAAGGGCGUGUUUGGAAAACAGGUCAUACUAAUUUCUCAGCAAUGUUUAUUUUAUUAUUUUUUGUGCUUUUUCUAAACAUACCUCAAAUGAUUUCUAAAAUUCUGAAAAAAAAUCAAAGACUAUUUUAAAUUUAUUAGUGGGUCUCUCGUGUGUUUCCCAACCUUUUUAUUUAAUAUUUGACAUUUAAAUUUACACUGUAAGAUACUAACUCAGUAUUAAAUAUACUUGUUUUUCUUCAAAAUUUUAGAAAAAUACAAAAAAAUAAAAAUAUUUCUUAUUUAAAAAAAAUAUAAAAAUACAUUUUUAUUUGUGUGCGUACGACCAAGUUCUAAAAUAUUUUCAUGCAUGUGUUUUUUUUUAAAAUAAAAAUUGCAUCUUUACCAUACUUUGAAAAACUCAAAAAUCAAUUAAUGGGUAUCAUAACAAGUUUGUGAUUAUCCAUUUAUACUUAUUGUCUAAGCUUCCAAGGGUUUUGUCACGACCCGAAUCCCGGAUCCAUGACCGGCACAUAGGCAAGGUUCCCCUCCAAGGUUCCAUACCUAUGCGAACCCAAAACUUACACACAAAUUUAUCCUAACUCAAUUAGAGUUCAACGCAACAUUAAUAACAAAAUCAACUUCAUAAUAUAAUUGAAUUGUCUUAAUACAAGAGUUUAUAUAAGUUCAGAGUUUUGGAGCAUUAACUAGACAUAAAAGAAAGGUACAAAAUACAACCAAAGAGCAGGUUCUGAAGGUCCAACAAAAGUGACCUGCUAUCAAGCUAUAAGCCUGAAAAGGAUAAAUAAUGAGAUGAUGAGUUCAACAACUCAGUGAGUAGAUAACGUUCAAUAUACACACACGAGGUAAUACAGCAAUGAGAAAUAUAUAUAUACAAGUAUGGCUCUAGAUUCUUAUAGAAAGGUUUCUCAAAUAGGCCAUAACAAAAAUAUCAUAUGGUAAAACUCGUCAGAAAAUCAAAAUGCAAUGAGCAUGAGGCUCCGUACUGUGGGAUGAUCAGUCCACACAGGUUGGUGACUCCCCCGACCAACUAGGGUUCAGAUACGAUGUGCACAAAGACUAACACUACCCUGUUAGCAUGGGUAUUCUAACUGACAUACCAUAGGUUCAUAAUCAUAAUCAAACAGACAUAUUCAUAUCUCAAGGCUCAAUUCAUGACAUCAAUCAAAUGAGGAUCUAUCAAUUCAGAAGUCAAUUCAAAAUAUAUAUACUGGUUCAUAUCAAUAAUUCGGAUUCAACAAUUGAUCUUGCUUAUCAUAACAAGGAUAAUAAUCAACAUAUAUAUUAUCAAGAAGCAUGAUCCAAUUCAUAUUAACAAAUCAAAUAUUUAUAAUAUUUCUCAUGCAUAUGGAAAAUUAUCCACUCACCUGACUCGAAAGCAACAAAACUCAAAGCUGAUAUCGAAGGAAAUCCUACUGACGUCCCGCCGGUAGAAUAUCAGGAUUAUCUGAAUAUAAAGGAGACAUAUUCAAGAAUGACUCAAAAGAACAUAUAACCUAUUUAACACACUUAUCUAAAGGUAUAUUCCAUAACCCUAUAUAUUUUUAGACUAAACUAGUUAUUUUUCUAAAAACCCAAAAUCUAACGGUUUUCCCGAAAUCUAAUCCAUAAUAAAACAAAUAAUAAAAUUGAUAAUAAUUCACUAAAUAACCCUCAAUUAUUCAUCAAACCAAUCUGCAAAGGCUAAUAUUACAGCUAGGGACUAAUCUGUAAUUUAUCAUAUUUUUAAGGGUCAAUUUGCAACUUUUAUCAAAUUGAAGGACCAAACUGAAAUUGUCAUAAAUCCAUUACUAUACUGAAUUUCUGACCAUAAUUAGUCCUCAUUUCUGUCCAGAUCAUCUCAUUAUACUCCAAGGACCAUUCUAGAAUUUUAUCAAAUUUUUAGGGUCAAAUUGUAAUUUUUGUCAAAUUGGAGGACCAAAUUGAAAGUGUUAAAUUCUCUUAUCUAUACAGUAAUUCUGUCCAUAAUUCAUAUGUUAUUCUGUUCAGAUUCUCGGAAUAGGAUCCAGGGACCAAUCUGUAAAUUUUCCAAAGUUUGGGGACUAAACUGUAAUUUUCCAAAAUUAAGGGACCAAACCGAAAUUUUGUCAUCUUCAACCUCCAACCCAGAAUUUUUAACAGAAACCUACUGUUCUCUCCAAAUUCCUAACACAAUUUCACCAUUCAAACAAAAUCAUAACUCAAAAUCAUCAUCUUUCAAUUCAAUCUCUCAAAAUCAUCCAAAUAAUCAAAUACCCACAACAAUUAACUCUAUAACAUUCAAAUUAAAUCAUUAAUCAAACCCAAAACACAAAUUUCAUAACCCUAACAUUUAUCAAAAUCAAAAUUAAAGCUUAAUUAACACAUAUUUAUACAUAAUCUUACCAUUUUACUUACUUCCUCCAACUCCUUUCUAUUUCCUUUCUUAUUUCCCUCUUUUCUCUUCUUCCUCUUCUUUCUCCCUUCUCUCCUGCGUUUUCUCUCUCAAAAUAUUCAGAUCUCUUCUUUCUUUUUUUUUCUUCCUUCUAUUUAUAUUUAUCAUCUCUUUAUUCAAUUACUACUAUACGCCUCAUUCAUUUAUUCCAACUUUUAAGCCUUCAAGGGCUUUAUUGUAUUUUCCCAACUCAUUAAUAUUCAAAACAUUACAGGUUUUGUUGUAAAACCAAAACUUUUGGCCUAAAUCCAAGCCCAAGUCAACCCAUACCCAACCUAAAUUAACCUAGGUAUAUAAAGAAAAGUUGUAAGAGAAUUACUUUUCUCUUUCUAAUUUUUGGUAGUCGUCGUGACCGUCACCUCAUCAAAUCAAGAAUUUUAGUUUUGAUCUUGAGUUUUGGGUUCGAGGAAGGUAGAAGUAGCAAGUAAGUGGUUCUCUCUCAUGUUGAUUUGUUUAUGGAAGGAUUAAAGAAGAGAUUUUGGUUUAUAAGAAUUUGAAGUUUAUAUUGUUAAGAUUGAUUUAUGAUUAUUAGGGGUUUAAUGUUAAGUGAUUGAUUUUGAGCAUGUUGUUAGAAAUAAGGAUUUGUGAGUUGGUUUUUAAAUUGAUUUUUAUGGGUUAAGAAAUUCAUUUCAACCUUGCUGGAAAAUCUGGACAAAAUAGACUUGAGGUUGAAAAUGAUGAAAUUUCAUUUUGGUCCUUGAUUUAUGAAAAAUUACAGUUUAGUCCCUAAACUUUGAAAAAAUUAUAAUGUGACCCCUAAAUGUAUUUUGAGAUUCUAAACAGUGUUAUUAUGAGGUUAAGGAUGAUGAAUCUCAGUUUGAUAAUUGAUUUGGAAUAUUUUUAGUUUGGUCCUUCAAUUUUAAGAAUUUACAUUUUAGUCCCUGAAAAUUGUAGUUUGAUCCCUGGCGCGUUCUAGAUAGAAUUGAGGAUGGUUUAUGGGUGAAAUUUCAAUAUGGUUAUGUAUUUACAGUUUGGUCCUUUAAUUUUGGUAAAAUUAUAUUUUGGUCCCUGUUUUGGAAAUUUGUCGUUGUAGUCCUUAAACAUAGGAGACUAAACCUGAUUUUCUUUUAUGCAUUGGAAUCUUUAAAUUGUAUUGUUUUGGGUUUUUUUAGUAUAAUUCAUACAUUUGUUGUAGGUUCUCCUAACGAUCCUUAAUAGGAUUUUCAUCUGAUAUUCCUUUUAGUUUUAUAUUUUUCGGACGAGUGGAAUAAUAUUUAAUAUACAUAUAAUAUAAAUAAAUAUGUAUGUUGAUUAUAUGAUGAUUACAACUAGUUAAUCUCUUGAAUAUUUAUACAUGUUGCUGUAUUUUUCGAGUACUCAUUUAUUCUUGAAUUUGCACUCGCUUUCUGUUGAAAUAAAUUCUAUUUGAUAUGAUAUACAUUUCUUUGAUGAUUCUGCGAAUAUCUAUUAUGCAUUGAUAUAAGACUUGACAGUAACUCUAUGCUAACAGAGAGUAGUUGACCUAUUUGCACAUACUAUUCUAUAUACCUAGCUGGUGAGAGAGGCAUUAGUCUGUGGCGACUGAUCCUCCCAUAGUGGUCACCUUCAGGGGUCAUCUGGUCUCUGAUAUGUAUUCCACUACUUUAUGAUAAUAUGCUUAGUAUGUAUAUGUAUAUGUAUAUCAAGAUAAAUAGACUUGCAAACUAUUAAUAUUUAAAAUGUAUAUUAAAUAUUAUUCCUUUACUGAGUUGGUUGAACUCACCCUUCAUUCUUAAUAUUAUUUCAAGUUCUUAGUUUUUGAUAGCAGGUGGACAUUGUUGAGUGUUCCUGCUUCUUCAGUUUUAGUCGGUAUGCCUUGCUUGUUUUGCGAGGCUUUACUUUUAAUUUUGAUUCGAUAUCUUAGACGCUCCACUAUUACCAUGUUUUAAUUAAGUUUGGAUUUUAACAGUGUAAUGCGUAUUAUGGAUUAUUAUUUUCAUUUUAAUUUCUGAUGAGAAGUUUUCAAUUAUCAUUUGAUUUCAUUAGUUUUGAAUAUUAUAGUAUUUCUAAAGAUUAUGAAAUGCUUUGUAUUUUUAAAUAACUUGUUCUUUUGAUAUGCUUGUUUUGAGACUUAAUUUAGGUGGGAUGUUCUUUCGACAUCGUUUCUGCGUUGCAGGUUAUAAACCCGGGAUUCGGGUCGCGACAUUUGUUGCCUUUUCCUAUUAAUUUUUUCAAAAUAUCACAAUUCCAUCUUAAUACCUUUGGUUAGUGUCUUUAGUAACUUUUGCUUUGAAAAUAUAUAAAUUCAUUGUAAAACUAUAUCUAAGACAUAUUAUUUGAUGUUUUUGUUUUUACAUCACCAACUAACUAUAUUUUUAUCUUUUUUAUAUAUUUUUCUCUAUACCCUAACCAAAAGCAAUACAUGAUACGGAACAUGCAUCCGUACUCUAGUAACUAAUUACACAGAAGGAUUAUCAAAGAAAAUAUAAAACUCGGUACUAUAAUCUUUAUACUAAGACUGCCACAAGGAAGUAAAGCCCACCUCCUUGAAUUGUAAUUUGUGAAAGCCAUGGAAUUCUGUCAAACCAAAAGUAGCCUAUCCUACGAGGUCCAUCUUGUUCUAUUUUUGAAAACUUCUCAACUUGCUGAUAGUUAUCGAGUCCAGUGGCUCAGCCAGGUAAGCUUGAGUUCUUGCUGAUAAUUCUCGUGCCACAAAAUGCAUGGUGGGCCGUGCCUCUGGCUUGGUUUGUGUGCAUGCUAAGGCCACUGUAACUACGAAAACAACUUCCUCUGCUGCUUGGCCUGUGGGAGCUUCGAGCCGCGGGUCUAGCACAUCCUUUAGAAACAACUCUGGAUCGCUUGACAAUGAUGGUUUGAUUGAUGGUAAUGAGGAUAAGAGGUCUCCCGGGUGCCUUCCCAUCAUGACUUCCAAAGCCACCACCCCAAAGCUAUACACAUCGCAUUUGUCUGUGACCCGCAUUGUUUGUGCCAGUUCUGAAAACAUCAGGCAAUCAAAAUGAACAUUUGAAACAUCCAGUAUGAGAGCUUUUAUAAUUUUAGAACAUAUACUUGAAUGACAAGAACAAAAAUCAAGAAUAUGCGAUUGCUGGCUUACCUGGAGCCAUGUAGCCAUAAGACCCAGCAACUGCAGUCCAGUUGGAGGAACCUGUAUUCAAGAGUCUUGCUGUGCCAAAAUCCGCAAGACGUGGCUCAAAAUCUGUCUCGAGCAAAAUGUUGUUCAGUGAUAUGUCACGGUGCACAAUGGGCGGAGAACAGUCACGGUGCAAGUAGGCAAUUGCAUGAGCUACUCCUCGCACUGUAUUCACUCUCCUGCCCCAACCAAGCUCCACUUCCCCCUCUUUCCCAUACAACACUUUUCCCAGACUUCCUCUUUCAACAUGCUCGUAAACCAGGUACAAGCAGCCCCUCCUGGAGCAAAACCCAUAAAGCUUUAUGAUGUUCCGGUGCCUAACUUCUGUCAGCAUUUUAAUCUCAUUCUCGAAACUCUGGCGAUUGGUUGCUGGGAUGUCACUGGAGUCUGACAUGUUGAGUUUCUUGACUGCAACUACUUGACCUGUAGACAAUGCUGCUUUGUAAACACUACCAAAUCCUCCUCUUCCAAUGCAGUACUUCUCGUUGAAGUCAUCAGUGGCCUUGACAAUAUCCCCAAAUGUGAAUUUGCUUUCUCUUUCCCAUAUCACUGACUUGAAACUCUCACCAUUGUUGACUAUUUUGGUCUCUUCAUCAAGCAGUUUGGUUUUUCGGAAACAUAGCAGAACAGCAAAGAUAGUUGCUAUUACUAAUAAGCCACAAACCGGAACGAUAACACCAAUAAGAACCUUUUUGUUAACCUUCGAGGUCUUGCUACUGUCUGUUGUUGGACAUUGUGAUAGUCCUUCUCCUUCACCGCACAAUCCUGAAUUUCGAACAAAAGAUCUUGCGGGUGCAUUUUUGAAAAUGCUUCCAGUUGGUAUAGGACCUGUCAACUCAUUGUAUGAGAAAUCAAAAGAAGACAGGCUACGCAUGGAAGACAGCGAAUCUGGGAUUCUUCCUGAGAGAUGGUUAUGUGAGACAUUGAGAAUCUCCAACUGCGAUAGCUUUGCAAAAUUUUGAGGUAUGGCUCCUGAGAGUGAGUUGCUGCUAAGAUCCAACAAGUACCGCAACGAGUUUAAGUUGCCCAGUUCAAAAGGUAUUUCACCAGCAAGGUUGUUGUGGCUCAAGUCCAAGCUUGAUAGCUUCUCAUAACUCCCAAGCUCUUUUGAUAUGUUUCCAGCCAGCUUGUUAUCAGAUAAGUCGAGGGAUUCAAGGCUUUCCAAGCUGGUUAGACUCUGAGGUACCUCCCCUGUCAACUGAUUGUUGCUCAAGUUGAGCAUGAAUAACCUGCUCAGAUUUCCCAGUUCAGCAGGAAUCCUCCCAGCCAGGUCAUUGGAGCCCAGACUUAGAACUCGCAGCUGGGGCAACUUCCCAAGCUCAGCAGGGAUUUCACCAGAAAUUCUGUUUCCGUCCAUCUGUAAAUUGGUGAGGUUUUUACAUUCUCCCCAAUCUGGUGAGAUUUCACCAAUAAAUUGAUUGUCACUGAGGGCAACAAAACCAAGAUUUGGAAGGACACCAAAUGCAUCAGUGAUGUUUCCAGUGAAUCGGUUCUUUUCAAGCCGAACUCGUGAUAGCUCCGAACAAUUCCUCAAGCAGGUUGGCAGCGACCCAUUAAAACUGUUGCUGUUGACAGUAAAUUGUUUAAGACUCAGACCUCUACACAAUUCAGGCGGCAAUUCUCCAGAGAAACUAUUGUUUGAAAAGCUAGCAUUCGCCAGAGAAGGCAUGUACUUCCCAAAAUCACUUGGAAUGCUACCAGAGAGGUUAUUGCCAAACAGAUUGAUGGAAGUUAAAGAAGUAAUAUUUGAAAUGGUCUGUGGCAACUCCCCAUGGAGCUGGUUGGUGUUGAGAUCAAGAGUUUGCAGCAUCGUCAAAUUUCCAACUUCUGGUGGAAUUUUACCGUUGAUGUUAUUUGAGAAAAGAUUCAGGAUUUGAAGAUUUGUGAGAUUCCAUAAUGCUGGAGGAAGGGGGCCUGAAAGCUGGUUUGCUGAAAGGUCUAGACUUAAUAACUCCUUCAAGUUUCCUAUCUCCGGGGGAAUGGAACCAGAGAAUGUGUUAUUAUACAGAAAAAGGUAUUGAAGCAUUGUCAACUUCCCAAUUUCUGGAGGAAUAUUCCCAGAAAACAAAUUGUUUUGAACCUGAAACGAGGUCAAUUCAGUCCAGUUGAAUAUAAGGGUAGGUGAGAUCUCACCGGAGAGAGAGUUUUCAGAUAAACCCAUUUGUGCUAUUUUAGAUAGAUUGGACAAAGACAAAGGCAAUUCCCCCCUUAGCUGAUUAUCAGCCAAGGCCAAGUAGGUGAGGUUAGUGCAAAGACCAAGCUCAGGAGGGAUCGUUGAGUUCAAGGCAUUUAUCCGGAGAUCAAGUUUUUCAAGAUGCUUAAGUUUGCCUAUAGAAGAUGGGAUAUUUCCUUGGAAAGAAUUGCUGAACAACUCAACAAUUUGAAGACCAGAUAUCGAACCAAUGCUUUCGGGAAUUUGACCACUCAACAGGUUAUUUUGUAGACUGAUGUUUUUGAGAUUGGAAAGCUUCGAAAUGUUGGAUGACAAUGGUCCUUGGAAUGAAUUGUUAUAGAGAUUCAAGGCCUCAAGCUUUCCCAGAUUGGUAUAGACCAAUUCUGGUAUUUGGCCUGUGAAUUUAUUGAGUGACAAAUCCAGAAACGUCAAGUUCCGGCAAUUGGUUAUAAAAUGGGGGAAUUCUGCAGUAAGUUCAUUGAGAAAAAAACUAAGAUAUUCCAAAGAAGGCAUGGAAAAGUUGGACCAGUCAGGGUUUUCGAGGUAGUUUGCUCCAAGGUCCAAGUGUCUUACCUUGGGAAGAUUUGCAAGUUGAAAGGGGAUGAUACCGUUGAGAUUGUUGUUGUAAAGACUAAGAUACUGAAGCUCUGUCAACUGAGAUAUCUCCACAGGUAUGCUGCCCUCGAAGAAGUUGACACUGAGGUCCAAGUGAGUGAGGUUGGAGAGGCUGCCAAUGGCUGAUGGUAUCGUUCCAUUGACGUUGUUAUUCUGGAUGUCAAACGUGGUGAGACCAGUAAAAGGGGUGAAGUUGAAAUGGGCGAGUGUUCCAGUUAUGUUUAGGCUGCGGAGGUUUAUUUGUGAGACUGUUCGAGAGGUGGAGCUGCAGGAAACAGCAGUCCACUUGCAGAGGUUGUUGAGGUUGGAACGUGACCAUGAACUAAGAGUAGGAGGUGAAAAGGACAAGGUGCUUUUCCAUUGGAGGAGAGCUUCAGCUUGUGUUCUUGCAGAUGAUUUGGCCUUCAAGGGAAACAAGGAAAGAAGGAGAAGAUGGAAGAGAGCAACAUAAAGGUUUUGAGAAGCUGCCAUGCUUGGGUUAUGCAUGCUGGACAUGAUCUGGGCAGUGAUCUUAUAUAGCAAUUAGAGUGAGGAAUUGCUUUCAAGCUGCAACUAUUUGUUUGGAUACGUUGGCCAUGGCAUUGGUUAUAAGAGCACAAAAGUCUAAAUGCGCGCUUGUUAUUGCUCUGCAACAGUAAUCUUAAAAGUGAUUUUUAUUUUAAUAAAUAUAUUAAAAUAAUUUUUUAAAAAAGCAUAAAAAAUCAUAAAAACAUUAAUUUAAUGUUUAAAAAUAUAAAAAAACAGAAGCUACCAAGCUAUUAAAUAUUCUCUUCAAAAACUCAUUCAGGUUAACUCAAGUUUUAGUUAAAAAACAGUAUUUUUUUCAUGGACCCAUUCCGAGAAUUUAAAUAAAAAAAUUACUGGGUCGGACAUUAAUUAAAAAAAUAUUAAUUUUUUCAUGGACCCAUCUCUGGAGCAGCUGCACUAAGCCCUUACAUUAUAAGAUUCUGGACCUUCAUCUAUAUAAUAACCUGGGAUUAUUUUUGUCUUUCCACUCAGGACGCAUUAUAAUAAUAGUAAUUUUUUAAAGUAUUUUUUAUUUUAAAAUAUAUUAAAAUAAUAUUUUUUUUAUUUUUUAAAAUUUAGUUUUAACAUAGUAUGUAUGAAAAUAAUCUGAAAAUAAAAAAAUAUUAAUUUAAAUUAAAAAAAUAAUUCUGAAAUGCAAUUGCGAAAAGGAGUACCCGGUACAAAAAAAAGGAUUGGCUCCAGCUUGAUCUCAUUUGUCCAUUUCAGGGUGGAUCUAACUAAGGUUAAAUUCAGAGAACCAAGAGAGUGUGAAGUCAUGAUUUCUUUGGAGUGUUCAUAUAUUAUUACGGACUCUCUCUCUUGUCUAUCUCCAGGCAACAAAAAUUCAUGAUUUCCCACCUCUACUGAGGGGCCUGAUGCUUUUUUCCGGGUUUUCAAAUUGUGAUUUAAAUAAAAAUUUAUCAAAAUAAUAUUUUUAAUUUUAAAACCGGAGAUUAUUUUUAAAAUUAUUUUUUAUUUUAAAAUAUAUUAAAAUAAUAUAUUUUUUUAUUUUUUAUAUUAAAAAAUAUUUAAAAUUAAGCCAGUCAAACAAUGAAACAAAUUCUUAUGCUUUUUUUCUUUACAGUGCUUUCUUCGAUCUUUCUCGGCCUGCUGAAAGGGAGUUCGUGUUUACAUUACGUAAUUAAGCCAGUCAAACUGCCCAACAAAGUCAGUCAACUUUUGAACUUCCAAAAAAAAAAUCAAAAUCAAAAUUAAAUGAACUUGGAGAAACUUUGGUGAAUCAAUUGACUGAAACUAAUAAGCUUUAGAAAGCAUGUCAAGACUUUAGGGUUUUAUCAAAACUAAAAAUUUAUAACACAAAUAAUUAAGAAAUCCAAGAAUAUUUAUAACACAAAUAAUAAUAUUUUUUAUAUUAAUACUUUGAAUUAUAAUAAAAAUAAUAAUAUUUAGAAACCCAAGAAUAUUUCUAGCACAAAUAAUAAUAUUUUUUAUAUGAAUAUUUAGAAUUAUAAUAAAAAUAAUAAUAUUUAAAACACAAAUAUUACUAUUUUUAAUAUUAAUACUUUUCAUUAUAAUAAAAAAAUAAUAUUUUUAAUUUUAAUACUUUUAAUUAUAAUAAAAAAAAUAAAAAAAUUAAAUAUUUAUAAUACAAAUAUUAAUAUCCUUGGGUAUGGCUGCGCUGUGAGACAUCAGGAUAUUGGGUCUCACUGUAAGCCAGACCUAAGAUCAAUGAGUCUGGCUAGGCAGGUAGACCCAACCUCUUUUUGAAGUGUUUUGAGCCAGACCUAAAACUACUGGGUCAUGUUGAGCAACAUGACCCAACGUUGGUGACUCCUUUUGAAAGUGUUUUGGACCUGACUUGGCUGCCAGACCCAACAAAGUUAGGUCCAGCUGCCAAGCUAGCCCUAAUAGUUUUUCGCAAAGGAAGCAAUACCCUUAGCUGUAAUUUUUGCCAAAAAAAUACAGCAAAGGAAUGCCCCCCUCCCGGGCUGAAGCUAGGCACGCGGAUCUGCCCCCAGUGCCCCAAGGCUUGGCAGACCCCGCGCCAGGUAUUUGUUGCCUGGGGUCGUGGCCAGGCGCGCGUGGUGGCCCCAACGCUCUGGCUUGUCAGCUCUUGCGCCAGGUGUCGACAACUUGAGCUAAUUAAUUAUAAUUAAUUAAUAUUUUUAAUUACAAUAAAGAUCACAAUAUUUAGAAUACAAAUAAUAAUAUUUAUCAUAUUAAUAAUAAUAUUAAACUUGUGUGACCAAAGUUUAUACAGCAAUAAUUUUUUUAGAAAAUAUUAUUAACAACAAUAAUAAUAAUGAUAAUUGUUAGUAUAUAUUUUUUCAAUUUUCUUCUAUUCUUAAUAUCAAUACUUUUAAUUACAAUAAAGAUAAUAAUAUUUAGAAUACAAAUAAUAAUAUUUACCAUAUUAAUAAUAAUAUUAAACUUGCACGGCCAAAGUUUCUACAUAAAGAAUUUUUUUUUUAAAAAAAAUCAUUAACAAUAAUAAUAAUAAUGAUAAUUGUUAUUAUGUUUUUUUUUUCCUUUCUCUACAAGGUCUGCCGAUCCAGCAGCGUAGGCCUCUAAACCCAAGGGCAGUUAGAACAGACCUCGGCAACCGUGUUUGAACCUAACAUGUGGGUCUGCAGGCUAGGCGCUCGAGGUUGCAGACCCUGCCUCGCGGGUUUGUGCAGGGCUGGAGACCUACUCGCCCUUGGGUUGCAGCCAGACGCGUUGGUUUUCUCGAAGCGCCCAAGGCUAGGCAAACCCUGCGCCAGGUGUCUGCAUGCCAUGGCCUCGGCCAGUCACAACGCCAGGUGGUUGUGGCUUGGGGCGUGUGGCCUGCCCAACGCCCAGGCCUGACAGCCUCGUACCAGGUGUCCGCAGCCUCAGGGGGUGUGCCUCCAGCUAGGCGCCUCUACCCUGCAACCUCAUCAUGCCCCUACCAAACAGUGUAGUCCACAGUGAAAGCACUCACAGUUCAUAGUAACCCCUACUACAGUGCAGAAUAGUGCAAUCCAUUGUACAAGCACUCACAAUCCAUAGUAAUUCUUGCUACAGUAAAAUACUUAUCCCUUUUAGUUAUAGUUAAUAGUUAUUUGAUAUAUUUCCCCGCCAGUCUAAAAUUACAGAAGAAUAAAAAAUAUAUGCCUUAGUCUAAAAUUUCAAUUGUGCCAUUUUUAUGUUAUUUGUUUUUACAAAAAAAAAAGUGUAAAGAAAAAGAAAUAAAGAAUAUUACAAAAGAAUAAAUAUAAAAAAAUAGUGAUGAAUUGACGAGGUGUAAAAUAAUAAAAAUAUCAAGUAUAAAAAAAUUAUUAUUUAAAAAAAACUCAAAAAUUAUAAUUUUGCUAUCAUCACAGUAAAAAAAUAGCAAAAUUUAUAAUUACACAAUUUCCAUAAAAUUUAAAAUUUGAAGUUCCAACUCCUAGUUAAUUGCUUUUUAGUUGUCCUAUAGUGAUUAGAGUCAAUAAUUAACUCUAAAAAUAUAUUUUAUCUUUUUAUUUUUAGGAUUUAAACUUUAAUAUCAACACUUGGAAGAAUCUAUUCCUCUAAACUUAUCAGACUAAUAUGAAAAUUAUUUAUUAAGUAUUUUUUUAGUAACAAUUAAUGUAGUUUUUUUUUUUUGCACAUAAAUUAGUUUGAAGAUAUUCAUUAAUCUCAAAUAAAAAAAAUAUUUUCUCUUAUAUUUCCUUGCAAAUAUAAAAAAUUAAAUUGAAAGAUUUAUAAACUUAACUAUGCAUAAUCCAGGUAUAGUCGCUAACCCAGAGUUAGUUUUUGUUUUUAAAGAAAAAACUCAUGUAUUAAGGGUUAUAUAAAUUUUAUAGUAUUUAUUAUGUACAACACUCUCUCUCUCUCUCUUUCUCCGGGCGAAUAUAUUAUUAUUAUUAUUAUUAUUAUUAUUAUUAUUAACAAUGAAUUAAAAGGAUGGUGAUUUUAAUAGCAUCACUCAUAAAAUAUUAUUUAUUUUAUUAUUUAAUAAUAAAUGUAUAAAAAAUUGAGUUUUAUUUGUUAUAAUUUGUUUUUUAUAGAAUUAUCAAAUUUUUAUGAUCUUGAUCGCAAGCUUAGUAGAUCAACCUGGACUAAACUCAAGUUAUUUUUAUGUUUAUUUUCUAUAAAAAUAUAUCAAUCUCAUGACCUGAAUCACAUGCUUAACAUGUUAAUUCAGGUUGAUUUUUUAAUUGAUUUUUUUCAAUUUCAUUCUUCAACACUAGGUUGAUUGAGAAUUGAGUUUUGUAAUUUACUUCGAUUUUCUUUAUAUGGAAUAUCAUAGUCUUAUGACCUGAAUUGUAGAUUUGAUAGGUUAACCCUAGUUGUCCCCGAUCUAUCCAAUAUAUUAUUGUUUCAAUAUUUUGUUUUAAAAAAGAUAUUGUCUUGAAUUUUUACGAGUCGAACUAUAUUCUUUAUGGCUAUUCAUGUUGUUUUUUUAACUGGUCAAGUCGAUCAGAUCAUAUCAAGUUAACGUUAGCAAGAAUUAAAAAACAAUACUAAAAAAACAUUAAUAAUACAUGCAUGUUUAUAUAUAUAUAUAUAUAUAUAUAUAUAUAUAUAUAUAUAUAUAUAUAUAUAUAUUUGAAUUAAAAAAAUACUAAAAAAACAAUUUGAAUAAACUUUGCUGAAUAAUCUAGCAUACAAAUAUUAAUAUUUUUAAUAUUAAUAAUAAUAAAAUUUAAAAUAUUUAUAAUACAAAUAUUAAUAUCCUUGGGUAUGGCUACACUGCAAGAUCCUAGAAUAUUGGGUCUCACUGUAAGCCAAACCUAAGAUCGGUGAGUCUGGCUAGGCAGACAGACCAAACCCCUUUUGAAGAGUUUUGAGCCAGACCUAAAACUAUUGGGUCUUGCUAAGCAACAUGACUCAACGUUGGUGGCUCCUUUUGAAAGUGUUUUGGACCUGACUUGGCUGCCAGACCCAACAACGUUGGGUCUCGCUACCAAGCUAGCCCCAAUAGUUUUUCACAAAAAAGACAAUACCCUUAGCCGUAAUUUUUGCCAAAAAACACAGUAGAGGAAUGCCCCCCCUCCCGGGCUGUAGCCAGGCACGCGGAUCUGCCCCCAGUGCCCAAGGCUCGGCAGACCCCGCACUAGGUGUUUGUUACCUAGGGUCGUGGCCAAACGCGCGUGAUGGCCCUAACGCUCUAGUUUGUCAGCCUUAGCGUCAGGUGUUGACAACCUGAGCUAAUUAAUUAAUAAUUUUAAUUACAAUAAAGAUCACAAUAUUUAGAAUACAAAUAAUAAUAUUUAUCAUAUUAAUAAUAAUAUUAAACUUAAAUUUUAUACAAUAAUAAUUUUUUUUCUAAAAAAAAUUAUUAACAAUAAUAAUGAUGAUGAUAAUUGUUACUAUAUUUUUUUUUCAAUUUUUUCUAUUCUUAAUAUCAAUACUUUUAAUUACAAUAAAGAUAAUACUAUUUAGAAUAUAAAUAAUACUAUUUACCAUAUUAAUAAUAAUAUUAAACUUGCAUGGCCAAAGUUUCUACAUAAAGAAUGUUUUUAGAAAAAAAUCAUUAGCAAUAAUAAUAAUGAUAAUUGUUAUUAUGUUUUUUUUUUAAUUUUUCUUCUCUACAAGGUCUGCCGAUCCAGCAGCGUAGGCCUCUAAACCCAAGGGCAGUCAGAACAGACCUCGGUGGUCAUGUCUGAACCCAACACGCGGGUCUGCAGGUUAUGCGCUCGAGCUUACAGACCCAGCCUCGCGGGUUUGUAGACCCUAGGGUCGCAAGGCUGCAGCCAGGCUCACGGGUUUUCCUGGAGUGCCCAAGGCUAGGCAAACCCUGCGCCAGGUGUCUGCAUGCCAUGGCCUCGGCUAGCCACAGAGCCAGGUGGUUGUGGCUUGGGGAGGGUGGCCUGCCCAAUGCCUAGGCCUAGUAGCCUCGCACCAGGUGUCCGCAACCUCAGGAGGUGUGCCUCCAGCUAGGCGCCUCUAGCCUGCAACCUCACCAUGACCCUACCAAACAGUGCAGUGUAAAGUGAAAGCACUUACAGUUCAUAGUAACCUCCGUUAUAGUGCAUAACAGUGCAAUCCACAGUGAAAGCACUCAUAGUCCAUAGUAAUUCUCGCUACAGUAAAACACUUAUCCUUUUUAGUUAUAGUUAAUUUUUAUUUGUUAUGUAUUUCCCCGCGAGUCUAAAAUUACAUAAGAAUAAAAAAUAUAUGCCUUAGUUUUUUUUUUUUGCACAUAAAUUAGUUUGAAGAUAUUCAUUAACCUCAAAUAAAAAUAAAUAUAUAGUAAAAAAAUUUAGUUUUUUUUUUGCACAUAAAUUAGUUUGAAGAUAUUCCUUGCAAAUAUAAAAAAUUAAAUUGAAAGAUUUAUAAACUUAACUAUGCAUAAUGCAGGUAUAGUCGCCAGCCCAGAGUUUUUUUUUUUUCAAAGAAAAAAACCAUGUAUUAAGGAUUUGUUUUUUAAAAAAAGGCCUAGAUGAUGGUAUAAAUUCUAGGAAUAUAAAUUUUAUAGUAUUUAUUAUGUACACCUCUCUCUCUCUUUCUCCAGGCAAAUAUAUUAUUAUUAUUAUUAUUAUUAUUAACAAUGAAUUAAAAGGAUGGUGAUUUUAAUAGCAUCACCUCAUAAAAUAUUAUUUAUUUUAUUAUUUAAUAAUAAAUAUAUUAAAAAUUGAGUUUUAUUUGUUUUGAUUUGUUUUUUAUAAAAUUAUCAAAUUUUUAUGAUCUUGAUCGCGAGUUUAGUAGAUCAACCUGGACUAAACUCAAGUUAUUUUUUAUGUUUACUUUCUAUAAAGAUAUCUCAAUCUCAUGACCUAAGUUACGAGUUUAACAGGAUGAUUUUUUAAUUGAUUUUUCUUAAUUUCAUUCUCCAACACUAGAUUGAUUGAGAAUUAAGUUUUGUAAUUUACUUUGAUUUUCUUUAUAUGGAAUAUCAUAGUCUCAUGAUCUGAGUUGUAGAUUUGAUAGAUUAACCAUAGUUGUCCUCAAUCUAUCCAAUAUAUUGUUGUUUCAAUAUUUUGUUUAAAAUAAAAUGUUGUCUUAAAUUUUUGCAAGUCGAACUAUAUUCUUUAUGGCUAUUGAUGUUGUUUUUUUAAUUGAUCAAAUCGAUGAAAUCACAUCAAGUUAACCUUAGCUAGAAUUAAAAAAAUUACUAAAAAAAAAUUAAUAAUACAUGCAUGUUUAUAUAUAUAUAUAUAUAUAUUUGAAUUGAAAAAAAAGUACUAAAAAACAAUUUGAAUAAACUCUAGUGAAUAAUCUAGCAUACACUAAAGAAUUUAUGAGCGAUGAUGCUUCGGCCUGGCUCCUAGGAAAUCAUGUCAAUCCACAUAUUCAUGACUUCCCCCUCUGCAGAGGGCCGUUUAUUCAUGUCUUAAAUCUUGUCAGCCCACGUAUUCUAGGUUUAGGCUUACUGCUGAGUUUCCAAGCUUCAUCAUUUCCUGGGUUUAGUGUUCAUACGAUGAAGAUUAUCUUAGGUAAUUGAUUUACAAAUUUUUUGAUUAUUUAUUGGUUUUUACAUGUAUGUGCAUGCUUGUUGAUUAUUAAUUUAGGAUUUUAAUGACUUAAAAAUACUGAAAUCAAGGAAUUUAUUCUUCAGUUUUUUUGUGUGCAUAAAAUCAAUUCAUUAUGAUGAUUGAGUAUUCAUUGUAAUGAUGUAGUCUCAAAUUCUUGUUUCAAUAAUGCCUUUUUUACAUGUCUCCAUGCCUUCAAUUUGACAUAACAUGGUUGAAAUUAAAGUUUAUGUUUUUGGGUUCUUCAUUUUGUUCUCAUUAUUCUUAAUGAGAUAUAAGCAAACAAAACCUUGUUUAAUUUUUAAUUUUUAAUUUUUAAUUUAUAUUUCUUGACUAUAUUUCUAGGCUUGGACUUUGGGUUAGGAACCUAGCUCACGUGGCUGGGUUGAAUUUAUAUUUCUUGGCUGGGUUGAAUACGUUAGUUUAAGACCAUGUUAGACAUGUUUAAUUUUAUCAAAGAAAAAAAAAACACAAUAUUUUUGUUCUUAAGACGUCUUUGCCACACGAUCUUAAAAUGUUUUUUUAAGCCUCUGAUUUUUAGUUAAGGACAUGUUUGGCAAACACGUCCUAAUAAUUUCUCAGCAAUGUUUAUUUUUUUAUUUUUUAUGUUUUUUCCAAACAAAUCUCAAAUGAUUUUCAAAAUUUCUGAAAAAAAUCAAAGACUAUUUUAAAUUUAUUUGUGGGUCUCUCGUGUGUUUUCCAACAUUUUCAUUUAAUAUUUGGGUUGUAAACUUACACUAAAAGAUACCGAUCCAAUAUUAAAUAUACCCGCUUUUCUUCAAAAAUUUCGAAAAAUACAAAAAAAAAAUCUUAUUUAAAAAAAUAUAAAAAUGUGUUUUUAUUUGUAUGCAUAUAACCAAGUUCUAAAAUCUUUUCAUGUAUAUGUUUUUUAAAAAAAUAAUAAAAAUUGCAUCUUUAUCAUACUUUGAAAAACUCAAAAAUUAAUUAAUUAGUAUCAUAACAAGUUUGUGAUUAUUCAUUAGGAUUUGAACAAAAUUUCAAAAACACCAUAAAAAUCAAAUUGAUUUUUUUUUGGGAUAUGAAUUUUUUUUUUGUUUUUGUUUUAAAAUGGUUAGGUUUUAAUCUGAAAAAAAAAUAAUCUUCUUACUGAGAAUGACCUUUCUUGAACUUUAGACAGACCAACACAUAGAAAAUGACCUUAAAAAAAUCAAUUAAUAAUGCAACUUACCUUAGAUAGGAUGCUUUGGAGGUGACGCGUCUUUCCAUUGACAACUAGCCCCAUUACCUAGAGGUCAUCGUCUUUCCAUAGACAACUAGUCUCAUUACCUAGAGGUCAUCCACCCUUUUCAAAUAUAUAUAUAAAAAAAAUAAAACCAAGUCUAGGCACACAGACCUAGGCCCCUAAAGAGUCACCCACAUACUUGGGCUUUUCUUUACAAUGGCCCAGGGGCACUGAGCCAUAGGCUCGAGGGCCACCUCUUUAAAUAUUUUCUCUUUUGUUUUUUUUUUUUGGUGUUUUUUUUAAAAGUUAAAUAUAAAUUUAAGAAAAAAAUUAUUGAACCUAGUUGAGUCCACAACCCAGAGCAUAGGUUUGACGAGUUAAACCACAAUAUCUGAGCUAUUUUUUUUCUUCUAAUAUUGUUAUUUUUAAAUGAUAUUUUUGUAAUGUCUUUUUUCUUAAAUAAUUUUUAAAUUAUGUUUCAAUUAAUAUCUCUUUUUUGUGAUAUUUUUUUCUUAUUUAAUCUUUUUUUAAUAGAGAUUUUUUAAUAGUAUUGUGUGUAUUUAGUUUUUAAAAAAAAUAUUCUAAUUUAUCUUUAAUUUUUAAAAAAAAUAUUUGAAUCACGGUAAAAAAAAAAAAAACAGAUGAAAUAACUAGUUAUAUCUAUUAGAUGCUACACACCGCACAUCCACACAUGCAAAACAUUUCUAUGUGAGGUUACAAAUAACAGAAGUAUCCUGCAUGGUGACAGAAUUAAUUAGGCUCCAUUUGUUUUCGUAUUCGUAGUUGUAAAGUGGUUUUUGUAAAAACAUAAUUAUUUUUAAUUUUAAAUUAGUUUUUUUAAAAUAAUUUUUAGAUUGAUUUAAUGUAUUAUAUUAAAAAUAAAUUUAACAUGCAUAAUGCAAUCAACAAAAAAUAUAAUAUUUAUAAAGUUAUACACAUCGCAUUUGUCUGUGACCCGCAUUGUUUGUUUGUGCCAGUUCUGAAAACACCAGGCAAUCAAAAUGAACAUCUGAAACAUCCAGUAUGAAAGUUUUUAACAUGCAUCAUGCCAUGUUUUCCAUUUCCUUGUUGCACACAUGUUAUAGCUUUUACUAGUUUUGAUACCCGCGUGAUGCUGCGAGUGUUUUAAGUGAAAUUUGGUUCUAAUUAUUAUAAUAAACAGUGAUAAAAUAAUUAGAAAUAUUAUACAACAGCAAAAGACAUGAUAUUUAUAAAGUUAGCAGUGAAUCGCAAAAGUUAAGUAAAGGCAAUUAAAUCCAAGUAGAAUAAAAGUGCCUAGGCUAAAUAUUUUAUGCUUAAUUUAUACAUAUAGAUAGAAAAGUAGACGUCAAUGAGCAACAGGUUGUAAUAAAAAAGCACGUGAUGAAGACGUUCAAUCAGCUUCCGAUGUUGGAUAAGAAAGCAUUGAUUAACUAAAUGUUAAUUUUUUUCCUAAGCUAUAAAUUAUUCUUAAAGCAAUAAGCAUCAAAUAUUCUUGAAGAUAAAUAAGAAAUGAGAAAUAAAGAUGUAAUUAUUGCUCAGUACAUGAGUUCACAAAGAAAGGAAGGCAAUUAGAAAAGGAGAAUGAUAUAGAUGAUUGUUUGUUAAACAAAGAGAUGGUGAAGCAUUACAGAGAACUAACUAAAUGAUAUUGGAGAUGCAAAUCUUUUCAGGUGAUGAAAUGGAGAGGUGUUGCUUCUUUGGAAGUGCUGGUGCAGGACCGACAUCAAUAUCUCCACAAAGAUGUUCACUUGAUGAGCCUGCAUAAUCUUCCAAGGGUCAUGUAUGGUCAUCCAUCACGUCCAAAAAAGAACAACCUUUGCUCAUUAAGUAGUUUUGUUUUGACAACAAUAAGUUGGAAAUACAAACCCCCUUCUCGCUCUAAAGGAUAUAUAAUUGAAGAAAUAAGUUGAACAAAUGUGAUGAAGAUACAACAAUAAAAGAUCAAGGAGCUAAAAAAGAACAUUACGUGUUGUUAAACAUUGAAAUACCAUAACCAUGACUAAGCAUGCAAGGAAAUGGAAAGGCAUAAAGCAAAUAAGUUAUGCCGUAUAUAUGCAAGGAAAUGGAAAUGGAAAGGCAUAUUCAGGUGAAAGAAACAUGACGAUCCUAGCAAGCGCCAAGAAGAAGAAGUUAUGCUAUAUGCAAGGACAUAUUGGAAAGGCAAGAAAACAAAAACAAAAUCUGCAAAGAAGAAGGACAAUAAUUUUUGUAAUUUUUUAAUGAGAGUGUCUUAUGUUUUGUCAUCUUUAAAAAGAUUUUAAAAAAAUAGGGUAAGAUUUUUUUUUUGAUAAAACCCAAUUAUAAUUCGUAGAUUGACAUAUAUAAACACCGCUAAAAAAAGAGAAUUAUGACCUCCCUCCUUUAUAUGAUCUUCAGGCAUGCCAAAUUCGUUGUAAGCUCAUGUUCUUAAACGAAGAAUAAUUAACCUAACCUCAUCAUAAAAACCAAUGCUUAAUUAUAUCUAAUAAAACAACAUGUCUUAAUAAAUAUAUAACUCAAGUUUUAAUUGUGAUGUUGAGAAACAUAUACAAAUUAAUAUACAAUAUCAUGAAUCAUAUGUGUCUUUUUUUCAUGACAAUUAAAUAAUCUCUCAUAAAUGGACCUUGAAUUCCUAAAUAUAAAGAUAAUAGUAGACCGAAAAAACCUAGAAAGGAUAUGAAUUCUUUUUUUGUUUUCUUCUCCAACGCCAAGAAACAUCGCAGAGGUGAAAUUAGUAUACGAAAUAAAUCAAUGGUUAGAAACAACAAAAAUCAAGAAUUAGCCCAACAGAUCUUUCAUACUAAUUUUUGUAAUGAUUUGUAUGGCCACCCAUUAUGCCAAAAAAAGAAGAAGCAACCUUUGCUCAUUAAGUGGUCUUUCGUACUAAUUUUUAAACGAUUUGCAUGACCAUCCAUUACAGGCAAAAAAACAAAAAAACCUUUGCUCAUUAAGUUUUGUUUUGACAACAUAAACACUAUCUCUGUACAUCAAAAAGGAAAAAAAAAAUAAGAGACAUCAAAUAUAAACAACAGAGCUUGCAUGUUAAGAGUUUAUAAGGAAAAGUGCAUGAAUGCAGGAUUAAAACUUGUAAAAUACACCAUUGAAAAAUAAGUUUACAUGGAGAGGCAUAAAAUAGGAACAAAACAAAAAUAUCUUGCGGGAUCCUAUUUUCUUGAAAGAAACUGGGAUGACUUGAACGGCUAACAUUUUUUGGGCAAGAUAAAAUCUUUGCAACAUUUGCUUGUCAUAACAAAUGCCUCAUGCACUAAACAAAUAGUUGGCCAAUAGCUUCUAUGUGCUAAAAGUCGAAAGCCACAUAUUAAGUAUUAUGGAAACAAAAUGCGACAAAGUGCCCUCCCAGCCCUCCCAUGCACAAGAAUUUGAGAUGCAGACAACAACAUGAAUAUAGUAAUUCCUCACAACACAAUCUUAAAAGCAAAAAACAGAGGCAAGUUCUAACCUUGAAGUUUAAGUCCUCUCCUGAAAGAUGAUCUGAUAGAGGAAAUGAAGAACAGUAGCAACUAAGAAAAACCGAUGAUAAAUAACAGGGGAAUGGAAAAAAGACUAACGCAUAAAAUCGACAACAAACCAACAGGUAACUAUGAGUGAAAUAAAAAAGAAGAAACGAUGAAGAACCUAAGAACCAAUGCACGGUAAAAAGAAAGUACUACCCUGAAAAAACAUGCAAAUGAAAAAUAAGAAAGCAUGACAAAUUGGCAUGCACUAAAAAAAAAAGCACAUCCCACCUGAACCCUCAACAAACGCUACUUGCUGGUAAAAGCUAACCCAACCCAAAGAAUAAAAGUUGCACAAAAAUCACCUUAAAAUAUCAUAAGAGAGCUAGGAGUCGAGAGAAUUGAAUUACUAAAAAACACUCCAGAAGAGCACCACCCCAUGCAAUAAAGCAAUUACAGACAAAAACAAAAAGGGCUUGCCGACUAUACUAACCAAAAUAGAAGUGCUAACUAAAUCAUAACAAGAAAUAAUGAAGAGGUAAGGGCAAGUAUGUAUGUAUAAUGAUGUCAAUGUCAUAUUCAUUUAAUGCACAACUCCACGGCUAGCUAUGCAUAUAUUUUAUCCCCAUGCCUAAACCAUUGGUGAACACAGCUUCCAAGACGCGAAAAUCAGUUGUGUAAGCUCAUUGUCUCUUGGCAUGUUCCUUUAAUUAUUUUCAAGCUGAUGGCAAGUCAGAAAAUCUAGCAACCCCCUCAACUGUAGAGAAUAAAGGAAGACCCAAUUGCAGAGAAAGACAAAAGACAAUGUAAAUUUUCAAAGCAUUUAAUGCAUCAAUAUGAUGAUCUCGCUUCUGUAAGUCAAAUACUUUCCAAGCUAAAAAAAAACCAGACAGCUAGCUACAGUGUAGUAAUAAUAUAAUAAUAACUAUAAAAAAAAUGUUUUGUGGGGAAAGCUACAGUGAUUUCCCCACGCGUUUUAGAGUUCUUUUAAUAAUCUUAGAGAGCCUCCUGUUAAAUAAUACAUUUAUCUUGUUUUAUUUAUUAAUGGUAGAAUAAUAUUUUUAGCUUAACCUAUAUAUAAGCUCUUUGUAUUUAGGUUAAAUAAUAUACUUUUCACAUAUCAACAAAAGGAGAAUUCUAGCCUCCCUCUCUUUCGUGUUCGUAUUUAUUUUGUGUUAAUUGAAUUCUUUGUAUCAGAGCUGGUUUUAUAGAACGAGACUUAAUCUCAAACACAACUUUCGCGUAUUUAUAAACAAAUUUUUUUGAGUGAUAUUUUGUCUUUCGCUUCUACAAAAUUUGGUAUUUCAUUUUUCCUUCAGCUUCUGCAAUUUGAUAUUUGCGUUCAAUUUCUAUAUUUAUUUUGGUAUUUCAUCUUCCCUUCUGUUUGUACAAUUUGGUAUUUGCGUUCAGUUUCUGCAAAUUUGUUUUGUGUUUUGGCGUAAUCGUAGAAAUUCAAGAAGAUAUUUGUUUAGUUUCUGCAAUCUCUGUUCAGUUUCUGCAAUUUGGUAUUUUCUACAAUCUCUAGCGUAAUCGUAUAAUAAUAUUUUCUGCAAUCGUAUAACCUUUUAUCUUAAUCGUAUAACGUAGACGCACAGGCAGGGCAACCCAAGCGUUCAAUUUCUGCAAAUUUGUUUUGUGUUUUGGCUGCCCGCCCUUCCGCUGGGUUAGACCCGAGUGCUACGUGGCGCUGGGGCUAGCUUGCCAAGAGCGCACACCCAUACCCGUGCGCCGCGUGGCGAGACCUGGCGCUUGGGCUGCCCUGCCUAUGCGCCUGUGUUAGGAUCCAAUGGUAAUUGGCUGUUGUCAGGACCCAAUUCGCUUAGACCCUGCGCUAAGACCUAAUGGUAAUGGGUCCUGCACUGGACCUAAUGGUAAUGGGUCUAGUGCAGGACCUAAUGACAAUGGGUCUUCCGCAGAAUCCAAUGAUAAUGGAUCUUACCUCAAGACUUAAUUCGCUUGGGUCCUCGCUAGGACCCAAAUAAUUUGUGUUAUAAAUAUUCUUCAGUUUUCUUAAUAUAAUAAUGUGUGUUAUAAAUAUUAUUAUUUCUCUUAUAAUUCAAAGUGUUCAUAUAAAAAAUAUUAUUAUUUGUGUUAUAAAUAUUAUUAUUUUUAUUAUAAUUAAUAUUAUUAAUAAAAUAAUUAAUAAAUUUGAAAAAAAUAUAUUAUUAAUAUUAUAAAUAUAUUAUUUUUUAUAUUAUAAAUUUUUACAGUAUUUUUUAUAAAAAUAAAAAGAUAGCACGGGCAUCCACUAGUAAUACAUGAUACGGAACAUGCAUCCGUACUCUGGUACUAUAAUCUUUAUACUAAGACAGCCACAAGGAAGCAAAGCCCACCUCCUUGAAUUGUAAUUCGUGAAAGCCAUGGAAUUCUGUCAAACCAAAAUCAAAAGUAGCCUAUCCUACGAGGUCCAUCUUGUUCUAUUUUUGAAAACUUCUCAACUUGCUGAUAGUUAUCGAGUUCAGUGGCUCAGCCAGGUAAGCUUGAGUUCUUGCUGCUAAUUCUUGUGCCACAAAAUGCAUGGUGGGCCGUGCCUCUGGCUUGGUUUGUGUGCAUGCUAAGGCCACUGUAACUACGAAAACAACUUCCUCUGCUACUUGGCCUGUGGGAGCUUCGAGCCGCGGGUCUAGCACAUCCUUUAGAAACAACUCUGGAUCGCUUGACAAAGGUGGUUUCAUUGAUGACAAUGAAGAUAAGAGGUCUCCCGGGUGCCUUCCCAUCAUGACUUCCAAAGCACCCACCCCAAGCUAUACACAUCGCAAUUGUCUGUGACCCGCAUUGUUUGUGCCANNNNNNNNNNNNNNNNNNNNNNNNNNNNNNNNNNNNNNNNNNNNNNNNNNNNNNNNNNNNNNNNNNNNNNNNNNNNNNNNNNNNNNNNNNNNNNNNNNNNAUCAGAUUUGAAACAUCCAGUAUGAAAGUUUUUAACAUCAUGCCAUGUUUCUCAUUUCCUUGUUGUACACAUGUUAUAGCUUUUAUAAUUUUAGAGCAGAUACUCAAAUGACAAGAACAAAAAUCAACAACAUAGGAUUGUUGUCUUACCUGGAGCCAUGUAGCCAUAAGACCCAGCAACUGCAGUCCAGUUGGAGGAAUCUGUAUUCAAGAGUCUUGCUGUGCCAAAAUCCGCAAGACGUGGCUCAAAAUCUGUCUCUAGCAAAAUGUUGUUCAGUGAUAUGUCACGGUGCACAAUGGGCGGAGAACAGUCAUGGUGCAAGUAGGCAAUUGCAUGAGCAACUCCUCGCACUGUAUUCACUCUCCUGCCCCAACCAAGCUCCACUUCCCCUUCUAUCCCAUACAACACUUUUCCCAGACUUCCUCUUUCAACAUGCUCGUAAACCAGGUACAAGCAGCCCCUCCUGGAGCAAAACCCAUAAAGCUUUAUGAUGUUCCGGUGCCUAACUUCUGUCAGCAUUUUAAUCUCAUUCUCGAAACUCUGGCGAUUGGUUGCUGGGAUGUCAUUGGAGUCUGACAUGUUGAGUUUCUUGACUGCAACUACUUGACCUGUAGAUAAUACUGCUUUGUAAACACUACCAAAUCCUCCUCUUCCAAUGCAGUACUUCUCGUUGAAGUCAUCAGUGGCCUUGACAAUAUCCCCAAAUGUGAAUUUGCUUUCUCUUUCCCAUAUCACUGACUUGGAACUCUCACCAUUGUUGACUAUUUUGGUCUCUUCAUCAAGCAGUUUGUUUUUUCGGAAACAUAGCAGAACAGAAAAGAUAGUUGCUAUUACUAAUAAGCCACAAACCGGAACGAUAACACCAAUAAGAACCUUUUUGUUAUCCUUUGAGGACUUGCUGUCUGUUGUUGGGCAUUGUGAUAGUCCUUCUCCUUCACCGCACAAUCCAGAAUUUCCAACAAAAGAUCUUGCGGAUGCAUUUUUGAAAACGCUUCCAGUUGGUAUAGGACCUGUCAACUCAUUGUAUGAGAAAUCGAAAGAAGACAGGCUAAGCAUGGAAGACAGCGAAUCUGGGAUUCUUCCUGAGAGAUGGUUAUGUGAGACAUUCAGAGUCUCCAACCGCGAUAGCUUCGCAAAAUUUUGAGGUAUGGCUCCUGAGAGUGAGUUGCUGCUAAGAUCCAACAAGUACUGCAACGAGUUUAAGUUGCCCAGUUCAAAAGGUAUUUCACCAGCAAGGUUGUUGUGGCUCAAAUCCAAGCUUGAUAGCUUCUCAUAACUCCCAAGCUCUUUUGAUAUGUUUCCAGUCAGCUUGUUAUCAGAUAAGUCGAGAGAAUUAAGACCUUUCAAGCUGGUUAGACUCUGAGGUACCUCCCCUGUCAACUGAUUGUUGCUCAAAUUGAGCAUGAAUAACUUGCUCAGAUUUCCCAGUUCAGCAGGAAUCCUCCCAGUCAGUUCAUUGGAGCCCAGACUUAGAACUUGCAGCUGGGGCAACUUCCCAAGCUCAGCAGGGAUUUCACCAGAAAUUCUGUUUCCGUCCAUCUGUAAAUUGGUGAGGUUUUUACAUUCUCCCCAAUCUGGUGAGAUUUCACCAAUAAAUUGAUUGUCACUGAGGGCAACAAAAACAAGAUUUGGAAGGACACCAAAUGCAUUAGUGAUGUUUCCAGUGAAUCGGUUCUCUUCAAGCCGAACUCGUGUUAGCUUCGAACAAUUCCUCAAGCAGGUUGGCAGUGACCCUGUAAAACUGUUUUCAUUGACAGUAAAUUGUUGAAGACUCAGACCUCUACACAAUUCAGGCGGCAAUUCUCCAGAGAAACUAUUGUUUGAAAAGCUAGCAUACGCUAGAGAAGGCAUGUACUUCCCAAAAUCACUUGGAAUGCUACCAGAGAGGUUAUUGCCAAACAGAUUGAUGGAAGUUAAAGAAGUAAUAUUUGAAAUGGUCUGUGGCAACUCCCCAUGGAGCUGGUUGGUGUUGAGAUCAAGAAUUUGCAGCAUCGUCAAAUUUCCAACUUCUGAUGGAAUUUUACCGGUGAUGUUAUUUGAGAAAAGAUUCAGGAUUUGAAGAUUUGUGAGAUUCCAUAAUGGUGGAGGAAGGGGGCCUGAAAGCUGGUUUCCUGAAAGGUCUAGACUUAGCAACUCCUUCAAGUUUCCUAUCUCCGGGGGAAUGGAACCAGAGAAUGUGUUAUUAUACAGAAAAAGGUAUUGAAGCAUUGUCAAUUUCCCAAUUUCUGGAGGAAUAUUUCCAGAAAACAAAUUGUUUUGAACCUGAAGCGAGAUCAAUUCAGUCCAGUUGGAUAUAAGGGUAGGUGAGAUCUCACCGGAGAGAGAGUUUUCAGAUAAACCCAUAUCUGCUAUUUUAGAUAGAUUGGACAAAGACAAAGGCAAUUCCCCACUUAGCUGAUUAUCAGCCAAGGCCAAGUAGGUGAGGUUAGUGCAAAGACCAAGCUCAGGAGGGAUCGUUGAGUUCAAUGCAUUCAUCCGGAGAUCAAGCUUUUCAAGAUGCUUAAGGUGGCCUAUAGAAGAUGGAAUAUUUCCUUGGAAAGAAUUGCUGAACAACUCAACAAUUUGAAGACCAGAUAUCGAACCAAUGCUUUCGGGAAUUUGACCACUCAACAGGUUAUAUUGUAGACUAAUGUUUUUGAGAUUGGAAAGCUUCGAAAUGUUGGAUGACAAUGGUCCUUGGAAUGAAUUGUUAUAGAGAUUCAAGGCCUCAAGCUUUCCCAGAUUGGUAUAGACCAAUUCUGGUAUUUGGCCUGUGAAUUUAUUGAGUGACAAAUCCAGAAACGUCAAGUUCCGGCAAUUGGUUAUAAAAUGGGGGAAUUCUGCAGUAAGUUCAUUGAGAAAAAAACUAAGAUAUUCCAAAGAAGGCAUGGAAAACUUGGACCAGUCAGGGUUUUCGAGGUAGUUUGCUCCAAGGUCCAAGUGUCUUACCUUGGGAAGAUUGGCAAGUUGAAAGGGGAUGAUACCGUUGAGAUUGUUGUUGUAAAGACUAAGAUACUGAAGCUCUGUCAACUGAGAUAUCUCCACAGGUAUGCUGCCCUCGAAGAGGUUGGCACUGAGGUCCAAGUGAGUGAGCUUGGAGAGGCUGCCAAUGGCUGAUGGUAUCGUUCCAUUGACAUUGUUACUCUGGAUGUCAAACCUGGUGAGAUCAGUAAAUGGGGUGAAGUUGAAAUGGGCGAGUGUUCCAGUUAUGUUUAGGCUGCGGAGGUUUAUUUGAGAGACUGAUCGAGAGGUGGAGCUGCAGGAAACAGCAGUCCACUUGCAGAGGUUGUUGAGGUUGGAACGAGACCAUGAACUAAGAGGAGGAGGUGAGAAAGACAAGGUGCUUUUCCAUUGGAGGAGAGCUUCAGCUUGUGUUCUUGCAGAUGAUUUGGCUUUCAAAGGAAACAAGGAAAGAAGGAGAACAUGGAAGAGAGCAACAUAAAGCUUUUGAGAAGCUGCCAUGCUUGGGUUAUGCAAGCUGGACAUGAUCUGGGCAGUGAUCUUAUAUAGCAAUUAGAGUGAGGAAUUGCUUUCAAGCUGCAACUAUAUUAUAUGGUGGUAGGGGUGUGUGUGUGAAUAUAGUUAAGUCUCGUUGAUUUUUUAUACGCAUUCGUUAAUUAUAUUUUUUAUUUUUUUAUAUAUUUUAAAUUAGUAUUUUUAGAUUUUAAUGUAUUAAUAUAAAAAAAUAAAAAAUAUUAUUUUAAUAUAUUUUUAAUUAAAAAAUACUUUUAAAAAAAUAACAAAAUAACAGCUACCGAUAUAUAAAUUGACUGAAAGCUGUAAAAAGGCACUCUGAAAAGUCUAUGUUAUAUGCCUACAUGGGCCCUUGUAUGGUUAAAUGGUGGUAGAAAUAAUAUAUUUUAAGUCUAAUUCAUUUUUAUACGCAUUCGUUAAUAUAGGUAAAACACUUUUAUUUAUGGAAAUCAUUAAUAAUUUGGAUUAAAUGAAUCUUCAAAGCAAAAUAAAAGUAUAGUCUAAAAAUAAUGAACUAUUAUAUGUAUUACAUAAAGCAUUUUUAUUUUUCUUUAAUAAAUUCAAUAUCAAACCCGGUGGAUGUUUUUAUUUGCCUUAAAACACUUUUAAAUG